GUGGUGCAAGAAAACCAUCUUCCGAGCUCGUCGUAUGACAUGACAACUCUUAUCCCAUAUCGUCCAAAAACAACCGUCUUCAAUACUUUAUUGGAUUCAUCAAGGAGAGUCGUCAUCGCCGAGCCCAGUAGCGUGGGCCUAUGACCUAAGCGGGGGCUUUGAGGUGAUGGAACGUUGCGCUUGUUCGGAAGGUUGGGCCCGAUGUUGGCAAAUAUUAUGGCUUGCCCCAUUCCAAGCCCGGAGUUGAAUCAUGGAGCUCAAGCGAAGGCUUGGGGUUGCAUAUUUCCUAGAGCAAAGGGUACUGCGUGAGGCUGGUUUCACAGAGCAGCGACUACCUCUCGCUCCUGGCAGUGGAAGGAUAACAAGUCGGUGUCACCCGAGCCCAUAUGACCAGAUGGGCUUCGCUAACCCGGACCGUCACCUUUUUUAUCAUUUUAAUUUUAAUUUGUAAUUUAUGCUAUUGCUCUUUUCUUGACAACUUACUCCACCAUUUAUCAUUUUUAUUCUAAUUUGUAAUUUAUGCUAUUGCUCUUUUCUUGACAACUUACUCUACCAUUUUUUAUCCCUCCUAAAAGUUUUGCAUUCAUUUAAUCAUGACAGAACUUUUAUUCGUAUUAUUUGUAAUUUUACUUAUAAAAAUAUUCAUGAAUAGUUCUGCUUUCAUGUUGAAAACGACAUAAUUCCUAUGAUUAUAUAGAAGAGAGAACUGCAGUUACUCUUUAAAAUUUAAUAUUAAAAGCGAAUAAAUGGUAAAGCCAAUUAUUCAAUAUUUUUCAUCUUUAUUAAUAAUCAUUAAUUAUUAAAUUUUUCAUCGGUAAAAUGGGAGAGUGUUAGAUGUCACUUGAAUGUGAAAGAUGUGCCCAAGCAUAGUCUCCUAGUAAUUGCAAUUGGAACAAAUCCAGUGGAGCUGGUGCAAGGUAAAUUAGUUAUUCCAAUAUCUUUCUAUUUUCUUGUGCCUUCAACAGGGAAUGAAAGUAGACACUGGACGUUUGUCCUCGAAAUAUUCCUCAAAAACGACGAAAGAUCAUGGCUGGGACCCUGAAUCUUUUCACUUGAUUUGCUAGGCUACCAAGUAGUAAGACGUUUCCGAUCCAUUAACCAUAAUAUUUGAUUUCUAAGGUUGGGAUAUUAUAAUGUAUUUCCUGCCAACAAUCAAUCAUCUCCAACGUUGCCAAUCAGUUGACUUUACACCUUUGAGGCAUCAAUACACUUGUCAUCUCAAACUGAAGCAGGAAAUCUAUACAGGCCAAAUCAAGGUUAAUCAGUUGACUUUACACCUUUGAGGCAUCAAUACACUUGCCAUCUCAAACUGAAUCAGGAAAUCUAUACAGGCCAAAUCAAGGUUUUUGACCUCACCUAAUUAAUCAACAAGCAGGUAUCAUGACGACUUCAUGUCCAAAUAUUAAAAUAAAUGACAGAAAGCAAAUUAGCAAACAUUUACUCCACCAAAACGACUUUUUUUUUUGGCACACUUCUUCACACGUGCUUGUAUAUUUUUUAGGUAGAGCAACUGAUUGACUUGUCUUCUCACGGCUCCUUUUGCUAUCCUUUACAAAAUUAACAUUCAUUUUGUUUUUCAUAAUCUCUUAAAUCUGACCAGUUGCAGCAGUUGCUUUCUUUGAAUGUUUCUCAUCUUCAAUAUCCUGCAAAUGACCACAAAAUAUAUUUAUAUAUCCCUGAUCAAAGUAAAUUUAAACAAGUGCUCCAGACUAGUAUGUCCGUUUCUUAAAACCAUCAAGGCAUAACCAGUGAGAGCCAGGUAGGCAGUAUACAAUCAAUCAGUUCAGUUUAAAAAUUUUACUAACUGAAAUUUAAAUUUUAACCAAACCAAAGCUAGCAAUGAAAUGAGCGGACGAGAUAAACUUACAGAAUUGUCAAUCUUGUCAAAAUCAUCAUCAAAGCUGCCAUCACCAUCAUCUGAAAAGAAUGCAUAUGAUUAACAAAAGAUAAAAGGUAUAAAAGAAACAUUAAAGCUGUGAUGAUAUUACUGCAAUCCAGUUCAUGUAUCAUUUCUAAUGAAUGAUGUCAAGUAUGAGUUAUUUGCCUAUUCCACAUAAGCCAGUACAUUCAUGAAUUAUCAAACCAGACUGGAUGCCUGCAAAACAAAGUUUGCACCUUGACGAAGGAAGGGACAUUCAUCAGUUAACACAACAAAGCUCUGGACUACAAAACCAAACAAGGAGUUUAAGAAUUUGAUAAUGGGGUACCAGUGUUUCUUUUAGGAGUCAAAUCCAUACCAUGUCAAAUAUAAAAUUGAAAACUUUAUCCAAUACAUUUGAAAUCUGAACUUCUACUUAUGAGGGUGUUCUAGCUUUCUAGGAUUUCAAUUUUCAAUAACUUGAAACAAUGUGUGUGCAUAUUCAGCAUACCAACUUAUUUUCAUCACUUUGUCAUUAUAGCCAUGUUCCAUGUUAUGAUGCCAUAUUCAUCAUUCAGCAUUUAAGCAGUAAUAAUCCAAGAUGUGGAUCUAGCUGGUAGCUGCCCAUGGGCAAUUGAUAUUCUCAGUUGUUCACUAGGAAAUAUCAAUGGAAAUAUAUGGCAUAAUAAUUAACUAGUCAAAGAAUAUACCUGCACCCCCAUCACUGUCUCCAAGAUCUCCCAAAAGAAAAGUGUCCAGGUCUUGCUCAGCUGAUGAUGCUGUUGAUGUCCUGCUUUUCAUGCUCUUUUCUGUCAUCUCAGACCCAGAAUCCUGUCCAGAUACUGCAGUUUGAUUUGAUUUAUCAUCUUUUAUCUGCUCUUCAGCUUUGCGCUUGAUCUCCUCCAUAUACUGCUUCUCAUACCUGAGUUUUAACAACCAAGAAAAAGAUAAGCCUACUCUGUUAAUUGAAUAUGAAUAUUCCUCUUUACAGACAGAUUAAUGAUAGUUCUUUUUUUUUUUCAAAAAAAAAAAAACGAUAGAACAGAUAAACUAUAGUUGUAUCUAUAUACAAAGCACAUAAAGGCAAACAUGUGAAACUAUUCAACAUUAAAUAAACAAUUAUGUCUUUAUCAAUUAACAUCUUUCUUCAAAUCAUCAAUCUAGCAAGUUAAAGAACAAUAGAACUGAAGUAGUAGACACAUACGGUGCAACAUGAGUGCUCACAAGCGUAAAAUAAAUCCUCCAGAAUCUCCUUUCUUUCAUCACACGUGGGCAUAAUUCAUAUCUUAGCUUCGAGAUUUGCUGCAUCAGUGAUCAGUAUAAUCAUAAAAAAAAAAAAAUGCCACCUCUAUUCAGAGUACAAUACAAAACACAGAAUGACACAAUAAAAAUCUUGCAUGCAAGAUAAACUCCAUAUCUGAAUCACAUAUUCUGAAGCAAAAAGGAAAUACAAGCACAAUAUCAAUAUCUUUCCCAACAAGCAACUAGAUAUCAUAUGCAACAAAAAGAUAAGUAAAGAAUAAUAAAUAAAGCAGCAAACUAUUAGAGUAACAUAACAUAGCCCAUAGUUAAAUGAGAGAACUGAUAGUAACACGCCAAGAAGGAUAUGAACAAUAGUAUGAUAAGCUACAAGAAAAUGUUUUGUGCAACCUUUAGCAAGUAAUAAAGUAGAAAAUUGUUCACAUCAUCUUUAAGAUACAGCCAUUCAGCAUUCUCUAUAUUUAAAGGGCAUGCUUUUUUUCUCUUCUCUUCACUUCAAUCUCUAGGCCAUCACACGACGUAAGCUGAAAUAAACUCCUAUGCAAUUUGCAUUUACUAAUCCAAAAUUGAAACCAAACAUAUAUGGUAAAGCAAAUAUCUUUAGCAAAUUAGAGAGAAACAUCAAUGAAUUGAGUUUUCACGAGACGGGUAGCAUGAUGCAGUUCAAAUUUAGCCGCUGCAGCAUUUUGUUCGAUAAUAAUAACAUGGUUACAGAAAGCAAAUUCAAAUUAUUCUUCCAGCAAUAAUAUAAUUGUCAUUUGGCUGAUCAAACACUUUAACUACACAAUACGAGAACCAUAAUGUUGAGCAAAGAAUAACCUUAACAUUUGUGAGAACGAGAGUGGCAUGCCUCUCCUGCCACUCAUUAAGAUCUUUCCGUACAUGUGAUGCCGUAGUCGGCACAUCAGACGCCUCAGCUUCGUCUACUAAAUUAUUCAUCAUCAUAAAUUCUUCUAUUGAUAAAAACAAAGAUAAGAAGAUGAAAUGACAUUUUCGUAGUAAUCCAAGUACCUUGAAUUGGAAAAUUGUGGAAUGUACUGGAAGUCAGCCCCUUAACAAAAUCGCUCAAAUCAUCUGUAAUUCCAAACUUCUGAAGCUCUUCCGGAUCCGAAACCGCGGGGGCUGAAGAAGAAGAAGAAUAACUCACAAUCGAAAGAGAAGAGAGCUGAGGAGGGAUAAUAUCUGAAAUGGACUUGAUUUGGAUCUGAUCGGCUUGCUUCAGAGCGGCUACUUUUAGUUGUUCAGCUUUCUUAGAAGCUUCCAAUGCGAGUUCUUUGGAUUUCUUAGCAGUCUCGGCGACUAGAUCAGCGAUUUUGUUGGAUGAGGUUAGAGUUUGAGAUUUUUUGGCCGCUUCUUCAGCGAAGAGCUUCGCUCUCUUCCAUAUAUCUUCCAUAUUAAGGCUCACCUUCAACUCUGCUUCUUUACUUGGAAGUUCGGUUUUUCCGUCUGCUUUCGCUCUUUAUCUUCUUCUCGUAGAAAUGGCGUUGUCAUUAAUUGAAAGACAAAACGAGCAACGACGCCGUUUGGUUUAUCGAAUCAAUGUAAAUUCUAGAUGCAAGUUGUCAAAGCGAUAAUUUUAUUUUUCAAAUUACAUUUAAAAUCUAAAAAAUGCUUUUAUUAUGUAGCGUAAUCCAAUGGAUACUCUAUCUAGUUUUGAAUUGGAGAAGAAUUCGUUGAGACCGUCCAGUUUAAAUGCCUGCAUUGGUGGAUCGACAUUGAACUUGGGUAAUAUAUCUUGAAUCUUGAUCACGUAUUCAGGUUAUGGUUAUGGGAUUUUAAUAAAUCUUAAUUAAUUAUAAGCCUAACCUAAUUAAAUUAAUUAGGUGCAAACAAUUUUAAUUAUGAUAAAGUUGAACCUUGAUUAGAUAAGUAGAUUAAUUUAGUAAGUAUAAUAGGAUUUAUUAAUUAUUAUUCAGUCUAUUAAAUCUUUAAAAUAUACUAAUAAUAAGAAUUUCAUAAAACAGAGAAAGGUUAAGAUUUAUAAUAAGCUUACACGUAACUGAUACAAAACCUUAGGGGGUUUUGCUCCAUAAUGUUGGCCAUAACGUACAUAUAAUCACAAACAACACUCCCCCAUGCAUUUCCCUAAUUACAACAACAUGAACGUAGUUUAAGGCAAAAUUGUGUCCAAAUUAAUCCAAGUUUCAUGGACCAACCGGCAAGGCUUUGUUAUGUAUGGGACGUCUUCUUCUAACGUGGGAAUAGUCCAUCGUAAAAUACUGCAACGAGUCGGUCCCCUCCACCCAUUCUUGCCUUGUCCCUCUCCUCCCUUUCCUCACUUUUGCUUCCUCCUUGUAUGCUUUUCCUGGACCCAUCACAUUAAUUAAUAGACGUGACAAACACACCAUGCUAGAAAUGCACACAUUCAUCAAUUUUCAUUUUUUAUCUAAUCCAAAUCACAGUAAAAAACUUUUCAAAUUAACAUUAAUAUAUUUUAAGUUUUGGAAACUCUCUGGCUAUAUUUGUUUGAACUUUUCUUUUUCUAACGUUUGUCAUAGCGAACUUUUAUGUUAGCUUGUCUAGCAAAGGCCACUUUUCCCAAGUCGUAACUGCAUAUAAAGUUGCAGGUUAUUAGGCCGAUAGCUCACCAGUUAAAUUUAUAUGAUCAUAGAGUAUUUGGUAAGUUUUUGAGAUUGUAGAAUGAAGUCUGCUAGGUGAUAUUAUGUGUACCUGAUAUAUCUCCUCUCUUCAGGUUAUUUCUCGAAGUGGAACCUUGACAUCCACGACCAUUUACCUGUUUUCAGAAGAUGACGACGUAGAGGGGAACUGUUAAAUGUUGAAGAAAUAAGCUAGUACAUCAACUAGAGAUGAUAACGACACUUACAGGCGCUGCGUUCUCAUCAAGAAGUAGUAGUACUCCAAGCUUCCUUGGAAGAGUAGCAGCAGGAAGAGAGAACUGGACUUCAUCAACUUUACUGGCCAUGGCUGCUCAUGAUAUAAACAGAUAAAUAAAGUAAAGAACACGAAUAUGAUGCAAGGGAACAAAGGCAGUUGUGAGAGCAAUUUAUUAACAUGAAGAAUUAUAUCGAUCUCUUACCUUGUUCUUGAAUAUGGUUACCAUCACAAGAUGAUAAAAGCAUAGAGAGGCAAAUACAAAGAGCAGGGAAGAUGAGUAGAAGCUCCAUAUUUCUUUCCUAGAAAACUUUGGAUGGGAUAAUUUUUUUUCUUCAGCAUGAAAAGGAUAUAUACUUGUAUUAUAGAGCAAACACAAAGCACAAAAGCAAGAGUCCCAAAACAAGUACGUGGAAAUCCUCUACCAAUAUUCAUCCUUUUUAGGAUGGCUUUUGUCAUCGCCUGCUAAAGUAGGUUCCUGUUUUUGUAACCAUGUCCACAGUCAACACUACACAACACAUAUCCCAAUCAAACUCCCAAUUAAAGAAAUAUCUGUUGAGAAUUAACACCACCAUUGUCGCCUUUUUAAUGGAGAAGGUAAAAGUAAAACUAUCCCUAUUUGAUAAAUUCAUCAACUUGUACUUUAUUCUAAACACUCUUAGCUAAAUGGACGUAGAGCAUUGUCGACCCCGACGAAGUCUUUUUGUGAGAGAGUACCGCAUGCAUGCUUCAUGGUAACCAGAGAAACAUGGAUUUGCUCAAGGACGUGUAUGUAUAUAUCUCGCUUUCCAAAGAAAAUCACGCGCCCUUUUGCCUAAUUUCUCCCUUUUUGUUCAUCUUUUUUCUAUGUAAAGGUCUGGUUUUAUCAAUAAAGGCAUGAUUUCCAAAAAGAAAAUGUAAAACAGGUUAAUGUACGCUUCUUAAGAAAUGGCAAAACUGUUUUCAUAAAUUAUUUUUUUUAACCAUUCUCUGUAUUAUUGAUCUAAAUUUUAUCCCAUAUAAUCGAAAAAAAUUUUAUAUGUUGAUUACAUUUCUGUGAUGUACAAUCUUGAAUUUAUUUAUGAUUUUAAUUUUUACAAUAUUAAUUUAUUUUUAGUUAAUAAAGUUAAUGCAUUCCUUGAGCUAAAAUUGAUGACAGUAAUAAUGAAGGGGCUCACAAAAUAGCGCUUUUCUCUUGGACGGGAGAGCCAACCCUAACCAUCUCUGAUCUCUGGCUUCAAGAAAUGUGAAUACAGAGCACGAGAGAGUGAAAAAUGCUUUGAAGAUUUUCGUUUCUCUCAGUCAAAAAGCUACCAGAUAAAUUCCGCCGAUGUAUACAUUUUGUUAGUUUAGCCUACGGACAGAACAAAAGCAUUCAGAAUCUACAGCAAAGAAGGCCCUGCCUCCAGUUCUUAUGAUUCCGGAAACGUCUGCCGUCAGCUUUCCGCAUUCUUACAGGACUGCUAUUCCAUUCAGACUGUAAUCUGCGGUAAGCAAUUAAAGAAAAAUCAAAUUGUUAGCAUGGAUUCAAAAUAUAUUGCGGCAGACAAAAGAAUGAGAAAAGCUUGACAAUAAUUUUACAUGGGGAAUGCGAAAGAGCAGGUGCUAGUGGUGCUGCUAUCUGAUCUUAGAGAGACACUGCCAGAAUUUGCAAUUGGCCCUGAAUAACUUAUCAGACCUAAUAGAGGACCUGCACCUGAGAAACUUGUCUCCCCAUGACCGUACUGAAGUUGACUUGAAAAUGGCUCAGUGUUUGUCCCUUCCGGCCUGGAUGAGCAAGUCUCUCCAUGUUCAAAGCCACAAUUUUCAGGCACAAAAUCCCCACAAUGGCUUAACAUGUUUCUGUCUCUGCUGCCAUUUUUUAAUCCCUCAGUUGUAGAUUUCAGAUCAGUACCUGCUAAGACGGUUUCAACAUGCUCAUGAUCUGAUUCUUUAGUUGCAGAAUCCAGGGCAAGAGUUCCAGAGACAGCUUCGUGAUGGCCAUAACAUAAUUCUUCAGCCAAAUGUACAACAGGACGGCCACUUUCAGACUCUUCACGGUCAGAAGCCAUUUCUAUGAUUGUGUUCUCACUUGGCCUCUGCAUUAGAAGCAACAAAACCAUUGAAAUAUCAUAGAUGUCAGACGACGCACCGUUGAGGAUACAUUAAUAUGAUCCUCCACAGUUUGCAACAGUAGUGCCGUGAAAGCACUCUGCAUUGGCAAUUUGACACCUCAAAGACAGCACAAAGCUCCUUUCCCGNNNNNNNNNNNNNNNNNNNNNNNNNNAACAAAACAAACAUCCUAGACCUCAUCAUUAAUGUACUUCAAAUAAAGAUUCAUUCAAAGGAGAUUAAACACGCCAUUUUUACAAGAAUGUGGCAAAUGUGUAAUAAGUUUAGAUGUGCACACCUGAGUAGACUGUUGUUCAGCUUCAUCGACAUUGUUACUAGAAGACUUGGGUUGUGAGAGAUCCGCUACCACUUCUGGCAUUGAAAGCAAUUCUCCAAGUGAAACAAUCUGUUUGAAUGUAACAUUUGCAAUUUCCUUCGAUGAAUUAACAUCUGCUUCAUCUAUAGGCAUCAACUCCUUGGAAUCGCAAUCAUGAAAAUGUUCAUUUUCACAGCCCUUUUUUUCUGAAGAUAUUAGAACAUCAGGAAUAGGCAAACAAACUGCUGAUUUUUCUUUUUCUGUCAAUGAUUUCAGAAUGCCUGGAAUGCACAAGUCUAGAUCAACCCUUUCUUUUGCUAUCUCACUUUUUAUGUCCUCAGCAGGGAGAAUUUUGCACAACUUAUCCUCACCUGAACCUGGGUCGAACAAGAACCUGUGCUGGAAGGCAACCCCCUCAUCAACACAGAUGUCCUUAACAACAUGGCAAGUAUUCUCCUCGUAGCAAACUACCAAAUCCGGCAGUUCAGAUUCCAUAACACUUUUGUCUGCACAUAAAACCGGUUCCUUUUCAAAUGAUUCAAUUUUUAGUGAAGAAUGAAUCAAUGGCAUUGGUGGAACUAAGUUUCUGAAUUCUUUCUCAUUAUCACUUGUCGAAUCAUCCACGCUCAUAGAACAAUCAAGUUUUGAGACAGCUCGACCAUCUUCAUCGACUGCAUAUUUUAACUGAUCUGUAUUGCCUUCCUUGCAAUUCAUAUUACUGAAGUCCCUAUACUGAUCUCCAUUCACAAUCCUUUUUCCAGACAUAAUUCCAGUUGAGUCCAAAGCAAUAUUUUUAUUGUAUUCAAAAAGUUUGGAGUCACAGUUAUGGCCCACAUUUCCAUGGCAGAACCUGUUUACCAUCUGCAGGGAACAAUAUUCAGUGGCAGACAACACAAAAGAAUAAAAAUCAAUAAAAUAAAACACCAUAUAAUGCAUCAGCAUAAAUGUGCAAUCUGCUAUGCACCUUCCUAUAUUGAUAUUUCUUUUUCCAAGUACAAGAUUCAUGACCAAGGACCAAGAUCGGAAAAGGCUGAUACUACUGAGGAAUCUAUGACAUUUCAAACUCUCUCAAUAGUAAUUUGCAGCAAAGAAAAAAAUACACAUUGCUUCUAAACAUGCCAACUGUGACAUACAAGUCUGAAAGAAUGAAAUAGCAGUUGCCAGUAAAAGAUAUACUAAUCAUUACCGAGUUUCAUGUUCAAAUAGUUUGCAUAAGAUGCAAGACUGUGUAGUUCUUCGAGCUAGUUAUAGCGACAACGUCAAGCACCAUACAGGGAAAUGUAACCUAACUGCCCAUUAAAAUUAGGUGUUAGAGUGUGAACAUAAUCUGCACAUAAUUAUAAGAUAUUACAUAAUCAUAGACUAAUUGAUUGAUAAAGGAUUAUUAAGAGUUGCCUUAACAAGACAUUGUAAUCUGUAUAUAUAUCCACUUAUUUCAAUAGAAAAAUAUACUGAAAUUGCCCAAUUAUUCCUUAUCUUGUUACAUUAGGCAAGCAAGCAGAAGUAUAUAAACCACUUGCAUAUGAGAUAGAAUAAUUGUAAAGAUACUCAGGAAAAAGGAAAUUAUAAGAAAUUUUUAUUCAAUCACCAAAACAUGAGAAAAUUAUAAAGAAUUUUUCACAGAUAUUCUGGUAAGACAUACAUGAAGCAGAUUUAAUCUGUGACCAAUUACUAACUAAAUUGUUCAUAAUUGAAGAAGAAGAAGAAAGACUUUGACAGACUAUUGAUAAGAGGUCAACCCAGUUUUCAACAAAAGAUCUUGAUCCAAAAAUAAUUUUACAAGUUGCAGCAACUUGAAUCGGCAUAAAAUCUUUAAAACAAAGCAAAAACAUCUUUAUCUUGUAUGUCUAUGAUCACCUAUGCUACUUGAGAAAAAUAAGAACAAAGUCAAAAUGACAUAAAAACACAUAAACUAAUCAUGAAACAGUAGCUUCCACCGGCUCUAUUCUCUAUCACAAACUAUGAGAAACACAGCAUGUGCUUCUUUUUUUUUUUUUUGGAAGAAAAGACCAGCACGUGCUUCUCAGCUUACAAGUUAGGAAAACUCAUCCAAUUCUCUUAACCAAAGAGGGUGUUUAAAAAAUAAUGGCUACAAUAAGAUGACUCCAGAGCCAGAAACUUUUGGCUUACCAUGUGGAACUUAAAUCUGUCCUCUAUAUGUGCAAAAGGACAAAAAAAUUUUGAACUUUCUGAAAGCUAACAUAAACUUUCCACAAAAAAAAAAAAAAAUCUUGUGUAAUUUUAAAAUAAAGAAAUGAAACUACAUGACUCUCCAUCUGUAACAUCACCACCUUGUUUCUGUUUGGUAACUUUUGAUCAGAUCUAUCUUGUCAGUGUUAGAGAUCCCAGAUGGGUUUUAAAGUUAACCUCCAAUUCUCCAUAGCAAGAGAAAAUUAAUAGAACACAAAAUGGAGAAAUUUGAGAGAUUCAAAAACAUAUCACAGCAGAAAAACAACCCUCAACAUCGAAUCAAAACGAAAGAAUUACGAAUACAAAUAAUAUAGUAAGAGUUAGCACCUUUCUGAUUCAGAAUCAGCAGGCACUCUGUUCAAAAGAAACCACUGCGCAAACAGAAAAAAAAUGCAAAACAUAAGCCAACACAUAAAUAUACAGAGUAAAGAAACUACAGAAUCAGAAAAAGAAAUCGUAAAAAAUGAAAAAGAAAGACAAACCAACAGAAUUUAAGUGAUCCAUGGAUAAAAUGGCUAGGACGAGAGAGAGAGAGAGAGAGGAGAAUGGACCUGUUCAGCAGUAAAGAAAUAAACAUUCUGUAGCAGAAUUUAAGUGGAAGAUUCAGAUUGAAGAGAGAGAUGUGGAUGUGAUAAUUGCUGCAAUUAUGUAGUAAUCUAGACCUCAAUAAAGACGUCAACUACUAACAGUAUACUCUGUAAUGAAUGCUCCAGCGCCCAGCAAAGAUCAGCAAACGGCUCUCUCCCUCUUUCCCGUGUCAACUUCAAGCUAUUAAUUAGCCUCAGUUUUAGAGAUAGAUAGAGAAAGAUUAGAAAAGAAAAAAAAACUUCCCCAGCUAGCUAAUAGAGGAAUUGUACCUCUUCGGUGCUCGAUUGAGCAAGCAAUCGAUAAGCCAUAGAAUGAGCGACCAAAUCCUUAUAUAGGCAUCCCAUGGACCAGACCUGCGGUUUGAUUUAUUUUUCAAAUCAAAUCAAAACCAAUCUGAUUUAAAAACAGUUCAAGUUGAUUUAAUAUUUUUUAACUGUUUCGAUUCAGUUUUAAAGAAACUACUGUUCCAUUCAAUUAAAUCCAAAGUAUUUAAAUAAAUUUUAAGAAAUUAUAUAAUUAAAUUAGCCUUUAAUUAAGAUUAUUCACUUACGAUUUUUAUUUUUGCUUGCAAGCAAGAGGUGGAUACUGGAUGUAAAUUUGGACCAAGCAUUAAACAAUACUUUUUGUUCAUCAUUCUUUCAUCUCAUAGGACAAAUAAAGUCAAAAUCUCUACCAAAGGAAGUAAAAUAAUUAACUAUAUGAAAAAAAAAAAAAUCAUAGAUCAUGAGGAAGAACUACUCUUAUUAAUUAAGGAAAAAGUGGAAAAAUAAGAAAAAAUAAAGAAAGAAAAUGGGCUAUCACCGGCCAAAGACGGCCGGCAACAACCCUUUACGGUAAAAAAGAGAGGGAUGUCGUUGGAGAGAAAAAGUAAGAGAGGAGAGAGAGCGUGCAGGAGUUGACCACCAACAUGUAUAAAAAAAAACUUACUGUCAAAACUUAUUAUCGUCAUAUGUUGUUGGAAUAAGGAAUCAAAGGUGUCCGUAAAUGGCUAUGAAAGGUGGCUUUGAUGUAAUAAUACAAUUAGUCAACUUAUCAGUCUUCUGUAAGAAGAAUUAAUUCGUGCGAAAGAUUAUUGUGUUUUCUGAUUCUAAAUUAAGUGGGAAAAAAUAUGUCAUAUUUACUUCAAGUGUGGUUUAGAUAAAAAAAAAAAAAGAGAAUGAAUGUUAUUACAAUUUUGUAUAAAGUCAAAGAUCAUAUUACAAUAGUUCAGAAGCCCUUGGAUCAAAAAGAAAGAAAUACUAUCCAAUGAGGGAGCAGUGGUUUUGUUUUCCAAACUCAAAUAUAAGGUAUAUGCACAUUACAGAGAUUUCUGAGCUUAAAGGGCAAAAAAAAAAGUUUAAAAAAGAAUUAAUUAAUUAAUAAGGGUAAUUUAGUCUUUGCAUAAUAUUUUAAGACAAAAAAAGAGAAAAUCUGAUGAAAGUAUUAUGAAGUUAAUGGAGGUAAAAUUCAGAAACUUUUUAAUAAAUUUUUUAAAAUAUAAGGAUCAAUUAAUAAAUAAUGAGAAUGUGUAAAACACUAAAUUAUAAAUCUCCAAUAAAAAAAUCUAUGACAUAAAUUUAACAUGUACAUGCAUAAAUCAUAAGAAUAAGAAAAUGGCAUCACCACCACCACCAUCAUCGUCGCCUCCCUCUGCCUCCCAUUCCCAGAACUCAGCGACUCCACUAAUGCCCCCAAAGGUCAUCCAUCUUUCCUUUCAUCUCUGUGCUUGCUUUUUUAUGUUAUUUUCACUGAAUAUACUGAUCCCUUUGGGGUUUUUGCUUCACAUUAGGUGGAAGAUGGUGGUGCGAAGAAUGCUGUUCCGAUGUCCUCCAGGAAAAUCCUGACUUGGCCCAGCUCCAGUGGGUUCUCUCUUUCUAUGGAGGUGGGAGUUUGAUUUCGUUUUCCUUCGUUAGGCAUGCGGUUUUUCUUCAAGUCAAAUUCUGCAUCCGUUCCAGAUCAAUUUCUAUUUAAAUUCUUUCUUUCCUGUGCAUUUAUGUUGCAAUUAGUUUCUGAGUGCUUCCUUUUGUUGAUAAGGAAGAAAUUGUUAAACAAAUUGAAGCCCUACCCUUCAACCUUAUUUUGUUUGUUUUCUUUUAUACAUACUCAGCUUGAUUCAUGAUGGAUUGUUGAGAAUUGUUGGGAAAAAUAAAACAUUUUAAAAUCGUCUGCUAUGUUUAGUGGUGACAGUCAGGCUUUAAAAUGGAUUCCUCUAAGUGAGUUUUGCUUUGGUUACCUUUUUUUGUGCUACUUUUGCUGAUUGGGACUGUAGAAAUUGAAGUUCUGAUAUUACUAUUAUCUUAAUAAUAAGGGGAAAUAUUUAGACCAUGUUGUGGAAGCAUUUAUUUAUUUACUUAUUUAUCUUCAUCUAAGUUUUUUUUUAAAAAAAAAUUUCUGUGGCAUUUUUUUAUUAUAUGGUUUUUGCUUUGCAAGUCAAGUUUAUUCUUGGAUGAGUUAGGUUGUGUUUACUUUUAGGAUUUGUUUUCUAUAAUAAGGUUCAUGUAAGCGUGUCAGAACUGUUUUUGAGGGUUCAUUUACUUAUAACAUUCCUUUCUACUCGUGGCUUUUGAGCAUUAAUAGAAUCAGCUUUAAGCUCUUCAAGAUAUAUUAAGAACUUCAGAGUUCACGCAUGAAUUUUUUGCAUGAUUUAGUAUCUUCAUAUGGAGUUACACUUCCAUUGAAAUUAAGGGACUUUUCCCCUAGAGCUUUUGAUAUUUUCUGUUGCAACUUAGUUAUGAUCUUUGAUUCUAGAAUCUAGAUUCUUUGAUCCUCCAUAUAAAUUUUAGAUUUGGUUCUUCUCUUUUGAGAUGUGCAUACUCCCUGGCACCCAUAUAACGAAUUGGUAAUGGCAUCUUUUUUAUCAGUUCCUAUUUCUAAGCAUGUACUUAUUGGUUAUUUCUUUCUUUCUUCUUUUUAUUCACACGUUCGAGGGAUGACCUCAGUUGAGUUUGCUAAAGGUUCUUAAAUACUAAAUCUGUUGCUUUUUUUAAGAAAGAAAAAUUAUGUUGAUGGUGUUUGAAUAUCACACAGACCAAUGCUAAGGAUAAACUUCUCCUCUGCAGUUAUCAACUAUUUUAGUCUAGAAAUAAACAAAGUUGAGCAGUAACUAUUUUUGCCAGUUUCUAGAUUAUAGGUGGCAAUAUAAGAGAUGUCAUGCUUGACAGUGUGGAAAACAUGGAGGAGUACAGCAAGUAUGAAACUGACUACACACAUCGUUUGAUAGCAAAAUACUUUUCUAAGAACCCUUAUGGCAGUAAACAGUUACUCAUAACUUAUUUUGUGUUCUCUGCAACUUACAUUUUAAAUAAUGCAUUUGUUCCAAUAUAAUUUGAUUCUAAAUCAUGUAUAUUUACCUGUUCAUUAUAGUUGCAUUAUUCUGGUUAAGUAUUCAUUUCUUGUGGCUAUCGUGAUAAUUUUCCUUUAUGUUUUACUUAGUUUAUAUCCAAAUUUAAUGUAAGGUGCAUGUUUGAAUUUGAUUAGGAUAGAUUGUUGCUUAUGUAGCAACUAUGAGGUUAGUUAUAUUGUGAUAGUUUAUUGAAGUAUCAUUAUACGCUAAUUCUAUCAAGUCCUACUUAUGAUUGUUUGGUGGAACCUUGACCUUAUCGUUAUGAUAUUAUGAUUGUGAAUAAUCCUCCCGAUAUCCAUCGUUUAUUUCUGUUCUUUCAGGAGAAAUAUUUGAAGAGAAAAUGAGAGUGGGUGAGGAGACUAUACUGUCAAGCCGGUAGAGUCCCUUUUUUUUGUGUGCAAAAGUGAUCGUACAGUCCUACCACUUGGUAUCACAAAUGCUGUAACCUAAACUAAUUUUGUUUUGCCAUCUGCCUAGGUGGUCUUGUACUCAAUCAUAUGCUGACCCAGUGAAGGGAUUUGAAGAACAGAACAAUGCUGGUUCAACAUCAGAAGCUUGAUUAGCAUCUCAAAAUGGGAAGCACCCACCAAGGAGUGGCUGAUGAAGCAGCUUCUUGCCUCUCACAUGCGGUAUUCUAUGUAGCUAGACAUGAUUGGUGUAGACAAAUUAAAGAUAAAAUUAACAAAAAGAUAUUUCUAGUUUCUCAUCCAUCUGCCUAUGUUUCAAAUGCUUGCUUUAGGAACUUGCAGAAUUAUUCUAUAUAUGUUUGCAAUUAUGGGCUUGUACAGAUGAGUACAAAUGCGUCUUUCUAGGGUCUCCUGUCCUAUGGGGUUGGUCAUUGUAACUCAGUGAGUGGAUACCUGGAGCAAUGACCAAGAACAUUAUCUUUUAUCUUAGAACUUUGACAAGGCUGAAGGGUUUCAAAAAUUGAAUGAUCCUACAAUUUGGCUGCAAGGCUUCCCUGAAAACAAAAGGACACUUAAUACUCAUGAUACACCAGUGAUUUGACAUGCGAAGCCCUUUGUCUUUUUUGUUCCUAGCAACUAAUGGACAAAAGGGCAUUAGCAACAUAUUAAGAAUGUACACUGCAGUGUUAGGUUUGCAAUUAGGGUUGGCAUUAUUGAUUUGAAGAAUUAUUAGUUGGACAGAGACUAUAUUGUGAGACUCCACCCUUGAGAAAUGAUUUUGCUAUUGGUUGUUGUUAUCAAAUGUAGAUUUCAGUUAAAGAGACCUCCUUCUCCCACCAACCAUCUUAAAUACAUUUUAUAAACAAAAAUAUUCCGUGUCCAAUAUGGGAAGGGACCAUAAAUUAACAAAGCCCCACGAAUCUCCAGCAAUAAAAUAGAGCUUUUGUUGGUCAUCCAGUGGUUGCAGGCUGUUAUCUAUGUAUGUUUUCAGCUUCUGCUGUGUUAUUGCUUUUGUAACUCCUACUAAUCUAACUCUCUACUUUGUUGCUCUUUUUUUUUUUUUUUUUUUUCCCAAUACAUUUGAUUUAAGUUGAAGCGAGACCUUUCAUAUAAUUCUGCGAUAUAUUAUCCAACAGGCCAAUGCAGACUGUGGUCAUAUGCACUCAUUUUACUUGAGUAUCUAAUUUUCUGUUUGUUUCAGGGGAAUUGUUAACGAGCAAGGCAUUAGUCUCUAAAUAUAACAUAUACUUGAGCACCACUGCAAAGUAAAUUCAGCUCUACAAGUACCUAGCUUUAUACACUCUAUUCAAUCCCCUGAAGACAUUGAUAAUAGAUUGAUCAAUUUGAAGCUUCUCCUCGAGGACGAUUGGUGUUGCAUAUGCUUUCUUCCACAUUUCUAAUAGGUGUCAACAGGUCAGACAGAACAAUUUGAAAAGAAGAAACUCUCUCCUUGAGCUGGGAAUUCUCUUGGAGGAUCUGGUGGUUGCUCUCUAACAAGCGAAUAACCUUCUCAGAAAGCUGAUGAUUCAUGGUUUGGAGAUGAUUAACCUGAUACUGGAGCUCUUCAAUCUGCUUCUUCUUGCGCAUGCGUGAUCUUCGAGCUGAUUCUCUGUUGGAUAUCAUCCUCUUAAGUCUCCUCUCAUAGGUAAUUCCCAGUUGAUCACCUGUCUCAUUUACAGUAGAAUCUGUACUGAUAGCUGAGUUGUGUGGAGAUAACAUAUGAAGUGGGAAAUGGAUAGGAGAGUUGGAUGAGAAUGAUCUAUUCAAGAAACUUGAAUUGGAUUCAGGAUUCUGAGAUAAAUUUGCAUGGGUUAAAUUGUGGCCUAUGGACUUCACAGGUUGAACUUGAAUGUUGAGAUUAGCUACAGAAGGGGAGAGUGUGAGAAGAUUCUGAAAAGAAUUUGCAUGAGGCAGAUAAUGAAGUCCCUUGAUUUCCUGUGACUCCAUGGCCAUGGAGGUGGCUUGAGCAAAGGGAGAGAGGAAGCUUUAAGGAGAGAAAAUGGGUUUUUAAAUAUGACCCUCCACCAGUUAGCAAGAAUGAGAAAGAGUUUCUUGUUAUGCAAGUAUGAUGAUCUUUUUUACAUAUAUAGUAAGCCUAUGUGGAUUUUGUGUGUAUGAAGAAUGAAUGCAAAAUGUUCAUAUUAUUUAUGUAUUUGAGCUACCAAUUCUUUCACUUUAGAUAUAUAAACCUAACUCUCAAUGUCAGCAUCAGAAUCUACAAAUUGAUGCUUUAUAAAUGUAGAAAAGAAACUUACACAAUCAAUCUAAAGUUCCAAAAAUAAAUUAUUUUUGGUGAAAAAGACUCAGGAAUUCUGUUGAGGAAAAAAAGUCGACGAAUUAUUACCAAUUUACUUCUAACAAUUUAAUAGAAAAUAUUAAAUUAUUGUGAAAUUAAACAACCAUAUAUUUAAAAAAUUAUUUAUUGUUUUAGUAUAUGAAAUAAUUACUAUUUAAUUCUUAUAAUAUAAAAUUCACUAUUUGAUAUCUUAAUUUCAAAAAAUACACUAUUAUUUUAAAAAGUAUAUUAAUUAGUUAUUUUAUUAAUUUUAACCUUUAAAUAUUUUACUCAAAUUUAUUAAAAAAGUCUAUUAAUUAAUUUCUCAAUAGUAUUUUAAAUUUUUUUUAUAAUAUUAAAUGGUUAAAAUUAAUAGAAAAAUAUAAAUAUUAAAUAUUAACUUUUUCUUACUAUAUUGAUUGAUAGACGAGAACUCUAAAUUAGAAGAGAAAGAAGAAAAGCACUUAUAUAAAUAUAAUUUUUUUGGAUUUACAAAAAUACCCCUUGGUAAUUAAAUUUGUAGAUGUCCCUCGUAAUAGUAUAUUCUUUAAUGUCUACGUUUGAUUAGAUAGAAAAAUAUUAAUAAAAGAAAUUGUGAAACACACAAAAACAAAAGGCAACAUCAUAGUAUGCGUAAAGUAUCUUAGUUUAUAAAAAUUUGAGAGUAUUAAUCAUGCUUUUUGACAAAAUAUCCAUAAGACAUGGUUACAACAAUCAAAUGAAAUGCACUCAUACGUAAUGUAGCUAGGAUUAUCAUGACUAGGAUGCUUUUCUGUAACUUGCAAUAAUGCAUGCAUAAUCUCACUUUCUUCUUCUUCUUCUUUUUUAUUCUCUAAUUACAUUUACUUGUCUGGUAACAUCCAUUUCAGUCAAAUUCUAAAAUUUGGUUAAAAAUGGUGAAAACUACAACAUAUUUUAAAAAUUUUUAUUAUAAUUAUUGAUUAUGAUUGUUAAUGUGUAAGAGUCUUAUGAAUAAUAAAUUUUGUUAAUUUUCUAUGAAAAUAUACGGUAAUAAUCUCCCAAGUGGUAUAAGUAGAGUGAGAAAAUCUCUAAUGCAUGCACUUUAUGAGAAGUAUUUAAUUAUGGACUUUAUGCUUAUAAAUAGUAACUAAGGAAUUAUAUAUAUUUUUUGGAAAUUAGCAGAAAAGAUGUUUAGGCUAAUUAAUAGCAUUAAAACUAUUAUUAAACUAAUUGAUAAUCCCACCAAAUUAAAUUUGUGGUAAUGAAAUCUAAACAACAUGAGUGUUUGACCAAUAACAUUCUUAUUCUCAAUGCAAGUUUUAUCUUAGACCAUAUGUAUAUCCUUGCUUACUAUUAGCUCUCAAUUUGAUGUUAUAUUAGCAUUAUUUUCUAACUUGUAGCUUUAUGUAUGGAAAUUACCAAAGUGUGGAGGGAAGAUUUGAAGUUCUAGCAAGUCUAAGCACUCUUAUAGAUUUUCUUCAUUAACUACUUAAUAAAAGCCAAUUAAAUAAUAAUAAUAAUAAUAAUAAUAAUAAUAAUAAUAAUAAUUUUAGUAUUUAAAUGAUAAUAAAAACUUUUUCUUUUUAUAUGUUGUGCCUAAAAGUCUAAACCAUAAAUUGGAGUACUUAAAUUUUGAGAGGAAGGGCAUAAAAAGAGCCAUAAUGGCAAAAGUGAAUGGCAACAAAUUCUUUCUUCUGCAAAAAGAAAGACUUGCAUUCCCUUAUUUUAUUUAAAACUAGUAUUACUUUUGAUAUGCUCCUCUUUUGAUGCCGAUAGAAAGCUACCUUCAAGCUGCACUACCACACAACACAUGAUCUUAAUCAACAAAUUGCACCGUGCUUUUACAAAUUCUUGCACUUCCAUCCUUUUUCUAAAUUGCUCAUCAUAUGAUCAAGUCUGCUUGUGAUGGUGCCAAUCUUUCAUUCAUAAUUUCAUGCAAAAAGGCUUAAUCAUAUGAUAAUAAAAAUAAUAUUAAAAUCCCCCAUAUGAACCAAAUAUGAUACAAUCAUCCCUUUCCCAGCAACUGUGUUUGUGAAAGUGCAUAAUUCUUGCUCGCUUUUAAGCGGAUUACAAUGGGCUCGCUUGAGCUAGAAACGAAACAAGCUUUUGCUUUUUAUGGUUUUAAGCUCCUUUUAAUUAUUUUGAAAAGAAGCAAAAGUUUUUAAAAACAUUUAAACGUUUCAGGAAAAGAAUUUUAUCAAACCAUCCAUUUAGUGGGUUGAGAAAUAGAUAUUCAAGAAAAUUUUCAAAAAUUUCUAAAAGAAAAAACCAGGAAUUCUCGCAAACACAAAUACACAGUUUUAAAAAAUAGCAAAACUUUCUAUUGUUUUAUAAAACCUCCUCCAAAAAAAGUGAAAAAAGAAAGAGAUUCUACAGCUUUGCACUGAGUUUUUCUUUGCCUCCUUUAGUUGUUAAUCUCACAUGAUGACUAAGAUGGUGACAGUAUGCCUGCCCACUGUGCUUUACUUUUCUAGUUAGCAAAUGCUUCUAAGCAACUUCAUUUUCAUUUCAACAGUCAACAACUCUUUAUCGCUACAAAUUUUACUUCCAGAUGAAAUUUUCCCCUUUUCUUCCGGCAAAGGGGGGAAAAAGAGACUCAAAGGCUUCCGAGUUCAACCACUAAGUCAACAUCCACAUUCCAGGUGACAGUGGGUAGACCUGAAGAGAAACUCGAAAUACAUGGGCUAUGAAGAUUCAAAACCAUUACAACACAAUUGCACACAUACGAUUAAUUUUGUUCAAAAUAAUUGCGGAUCUAUUAGAACUCUAAAUCAAGUAGUCCCCUCCUGCAUGUCCAAGUAAAUGUGUAAAAAUACCUUUAAUCUACGACAACGCCACUUGCCAACUGGUGUUACUACAUAACUCUUACUAAACAUUCAAGUAACCAUCUCUAGGGGUGAGCAUUCGGUCGGUUCGGUUCAAAACCGAACCGAACCGAAAUAACCGAAAACCGAAUUGCAGAAUUUUACACAAACCGAACCGAACCGAANNNNNNNNNNNNNNNNNNNNNNNNNNNNNNNNNNNNNNNNNNNNNNNNNNNNNNNNNNNNNNNNNNNNNNNNNNNNNNNNNNNNNNNNNNNNNNNNNNNNNNNNNNNNNNNNNNNNNNNNNNNNNNNNNNNNNNNNNNNNNNNNNNNNNNNNNNNNNNNNNNNNNNNNNNNNNNNNNNNNNNNNNNNNNNNNNNNNNNNNNNNNNNNNNNNNNNNNNNNNNNNNNNNNNNNNNNNNNNNNNNNNNNNNNNNNNNNNNNNNNNNNNNNNNNNNNNNNNNNNNNNNNNNNNNNNNNNNNNNNNNNNNNNCAAACUAAAUUUUUAGUUCGAUUCGGUUCGGUCGGUUAUUUCGGUUUAAACCGAAUAGUGCUCAGCCCUAACCAUCUCUAUUAUGCCCACCCUUCAAGUUAAAUGACACUGAUGAAAGAAAUUAAUAGUUUGGAAACCAUGCAAGGCUUCAACAAGGAUGCACUGCUCUUUUCCUUUCCUUUUUCCAUUCCAAAGCAUAGUUACAGAAAGGAGAAACAAUGUUAGUGAACAAAAUUUAGGAUAUUAAUAGCUUCAACUUUGCUAUGAAAACACAUUGCUACAACCAUCUUAAGUUUCUAGCCCCACUCAUUUGCUGAACUUUUUUUUUCACACCAAAAUAUUCAAAUUUUACUGUGCUUUUUGGGGCCUAACGCAUGAUGGAUCCGCAUAAUCCAGCAGUUAUAACACAAAUCUCUUACAAGUAAAAUUAUCUUCUGGUACCUUAUAGUGAAAAAAAAAAAUAAAUUUACAAGUAUCUGAAAGCCUGCAGCUCCAAAUUAUACCUCUGCUCUCAAUAAAUUAGUUAAAGAAUGCAUGUAUCAUGAACAUUCAAACUCCAAUCACAAAAUAAAAUAAUAUAACAUACAGAAAAGCAGAAUCAAUACAAAUCAUAAACAUUAUUCAAAUAACAAUUUCCCAAGCGUACAGUGCUGCCAAAACAAUAUUCUUAUACUCUCACCCAAAUAGCAUAGUAACUUGUGAUGAAUCAGUAGCCUCACGAAGGGAAACCAAUGCACUCUAACAGAAAUAUCUACAUUCUUAAAAGACCUAAUGCUUUAAAAUAAAAAUAAAAAAGAGGGUGAAGGGGGGGGAGAAGAGAAAAAAGUUUAAAAGCAUACAGGACCAAAAUGUUAUACCUAUCAAAGGCGACGGCUGGCACUAGCAGCUCUUUGUGCUGCUUUCCUUCGCUCAUAAUCUGCAUCAUCUGUAGGCAACUCAUAUCGACAUACUGGGCAAGUAUUCCUUAUUCCUAGCCAUGGCACAAUGCACUCCCCAUGGUAUCGAUGUGUGCAAGGCAAUUGCUUUGCACUCUCUCCAACAUUAAGCUCAUCUUUACAAACAGCACAAAAUGCACUAUUAUUAACAUCCUCUUUUGUCAAAACCACGGAUGGAAGCUUCUCAACAACAAAUUUUGCAGCUGGAGGCCGACCCAUCAAUGCAUUUUCACUAUCUGCAAAUUGCCCAAACAACAUCUCAUACUCUGCAGUGUAAAUAUAAUCAUCAUGAUCCCCAAAAUAAGGCUCAGCAUUGUGGUCCUGUUCACGGUCCAAAUUUGAGUCCAUGUUGUUUGCAUUCAGCAGAACUUCCCAUUCUAAACUUCCCAAUCCUCCUACCCUCUCUACGCUCACCAUAUCCUCAGGGGCAAUAAUAGGUGAAAUAGAGAGAGAAACAGAGGCCUCAUCAUCAUCAACAAACAUGCUUAGAACCUCUCUCUCAUCAACGCGGCCAUCCACUUCCUCCCACUCAAAAUCCUCAUUAUUUUCUCUGUGGUCCUCCAACUGAAGCGAAUCCCAACAAAGAGGAAUAGUAACGCUUGCAUCUUCCUCAUCAUCGUCGCCAACAUUAUCAUAAUUAUCAUUUUCUAUAUUCAAACGAUCUAAACCAUACUCAUCACCUGAAUUCAAAUCUAUAGCUAACAUGUUAUCAUUAUCCUCUGAAUCAGAAUCCGACCCAAACCCAACAACCCUCAUGGCACUUGUACGAACGCUAACGGUAGAUUCAGCCUCACAAGAUUGAAUUCCGGAAAGCCUUCUCUCCACAAAGAAAUCAUCGUCAUCAUCAUCGAUAAUGAUGUUUCUGCUGUAAUCAUUAUUAUUAUCACUGUGACUAUGAUUAUGGCCUAUAUUUUGAAAUCCACCAUUCUCGUGACCGUCUAAACCAAACCCUAACCCUAACUCAAGCUCCAAAUUAUCCAUGCCUAAUUCACAAUUCUCCUCUAUAACACCGAAGUCCGAUUCGUUGAGCGAAUCGGAAACCAAAUGGGAACUGCGACCCAUUACCUGAGACUGCUCAACUCGCUGUUGAAACAGAUCCAUAACGAAACUAACCUGGUUCUGACGGUCGAGGAUAUCCGGGCCUCCGAGGAUAACUGACUCGGGAUCCGAGACGGCGUCGUCGUCAAGGGUCCGAAUAUUGAAAUUGGUGUGAUCAGAAAGUGAGUAGGGGUCAUGGAGAGUGGCGUGCGGGGAGUGAGAAUCAGAGGAAGAGAAGAGAGGGAAAUAAGGGUCGACAGUUAGGUUGCGAGGGUGGCGUGGCCGGCGGUGGUGGUGAUGACGAUGGUGAGAAUCGUCGUCGGCAGGGUCGUGUUGGAGGCGAGUGUGAAGGUAAGAAAUAUUUGCCAUAAUUUGAGAUUAAAAGGAGAAAGGAGAGCUUUUUCGUGACUCAGAAUUGGAGGCGAAUGCAUUUCUUUCAUUUCAGGGCAGUGGAAAAUAAAACGAUGCCGCUGAUUUUUGGUUGUAUAACUACAAAAUUACGUAACUGUCCUCUGUCCUUUUUUUUUAAUAGAUAAACUACUAUUAAAUCUUUAUAUUAUGAAAUUAAUUUAUUUAUUUUUAUUGCAAAAUCGCUCUAUUAACAUUUUUUUAAAAAAUUCAAUUUUUUAGUUCUUUUUUAACAAAUCAUUGACUAACUUGAACGAUUUAUAUUAUUUAAUUCUCUAUAAUUUUAAUUAUAUUAUUAUUAUUUAAUUUUUAUAAUUUAAAAUAUUCAUAUUAUUUAAUUUUUUUAUUAAUAUUAAAAUAAAUUAAUUAAUGACUUUUCCAACCUAAUGACUAAAAAUUUUUAUUUUAUAUUUAAUUAAGUAAAUUUAAAAUAAACAUAAAUUAGUAAAUUUUAAAAAAUUUAAUAAUAAUUCUACUUUUUAAUUUUUUUUGAUAAAUAAGUUUAAAAAGUAGUAAAUUUAUGUUUCCUAAUAAAUAUUUUUCAUUUAUAUUGUUUUUUGUAAAAUUAUUAUUAAAAUUAAUGAAUUUUAUGUUAAUUUAAUAAUAUUAACUAGAUGUAUAUAAAUAAAUUAUCAUAAAUAAAAAAUAAUUUAUAAUUUAAAACGGGAUAACAUAAAGUAAUAAAUUCAUAUUUAUAAAAAUACUAUUAUUAAUUUUUUAUCUCUAUCUUGAAAAACAUUAAAAUGCUCUUAUAAUUUAAUUUCAUUUGUGAAAUGUGUCUUAUGUCAAUAUAAUAUAGUAAUUUUAAAAAGUUAAUAUUGCAUUUAAAUUUACAUUCACAAAUUUACGUAUCUGAAUAAAUUUAAAAGGUUUAUUCUAUUUUUUUAAUUUUUAUUUUAAAAAAAAUAAUAUUAAAUUUUAAUUUUAAUAUAAAAAAAAUAUUGUAUUAUUUAAAAUUUUUUUAUGUUUAUAUUUAUUUUGAGCAUUUUAAACAAGAAUUUUAAUCAAAAUAAAAUUUCAUAAAUUGAAAUUCAUAAAACCAACAAAGAAUACAUUAUUAAAUAUUAUUUUAUUUCUAUUAAUAAAUAUUUGUAUGAGAGUAAUUCAAUACUCUUUUUUUGUAGGCUGAAACUUUGUUUUGGUAGGUUAUAGUUUCUUCCAAGCAAAGCAACUUCGACACAUUGGUGGUUCCCAAGUGCUUCAAUCCCUACUUCACUGUAAAAGCCAUGGAAUCUUCAGCCGCCCACGAUUUGCUUUGUUUUAGCCAAAAAAUAUAUAAUUUAAUAUAGUUGCAAGAAAAGUUUUUAAUUUUAAUCAUUUAUUUUAUUAUUUAAUUUAAUUUUAGAGUUUAAAUAAAUUUAAAAUUAAUAAUACUAUUUAUAUUUAAGUUUUUUUUAUUAAUCAAAAUUUAUACAACUUUGGCCUCCCCUUUUCAUAAUUAUUUCCUUCUCAAGAAAUUGACAAAAUUUAUUAAUAUUUUGACAUGUAAACCUCUUUAAUUAUGAUUUUUUUAUUUUUUAUUCUUAAUUUAUUAAUUUUAACUAAUAAUAAUUUAUUUUCAUUUAAUAUUUUUAAAAUUACUCGCUUUGUACUAGAUUUAUAAAAUUAAAGAAUGUAUAAAAAUUAUAAAAUAAAGGAGUAGUUAUUAUUAGAUAAAUUAUAAAAUACAAAUAGAUAUUUAUAAAAUAUUAAAUUUAAUUAAUUAUUUAAAUUACGAAAUAAUUAAGAAAAAUAAUUUUAAAAAUUAUAUAUAAAAAAAAAGGAGAAACAACCAAGCUUUAAAUAAUUAUUAUUAUAAUUAAAAGUUGAUUAUUAGAUUUAAAUGAUAAUAAUGGGGCUUAAAUCUGUUCUGAUGGCUGCAACCAUUACGCAACUAAUAUUAUAUGAAUAAAAUCUAUUGCUUAUUAUAUGCACUUAAGAUUUAGUAUGAUGAUAAAUUGUAUCUAAAAAUAUUUGAGAGAUUUCGGUUUUAUUCUGUAAUUUUUAAUUUUUAUUUAAAAAAACAGAUAAAUUAUAUUUUUAUAAUUAUAAAUUAUAAUGUUAUUCACUAUUUUCACCCACUUUUAAUAAAAAAUAAUAUUUAUAUGAUUAAUUUUUUUAAAAUUAUAUUUUUUGUGCAUUGCACGAGCAUCACCGUAGUAUAUAUAAUUAGAAAAGGAAAAGAAAUAAUAAAAAGAUAAUGAGGUAUACGAGUGAAUUUAAUAGUUAUACGUUGCUCUUUAUUUUGAUUGGAUAAGAAAAACAAAAUCUUAUUUAUUUAAAAGAUAAAUAAAUUAUUCAUAUAUUAUUAAUCAAUUAAAUUUAACCAUUUAAUGCUUCUCCACUUAAAUUAUUUUUAUAACUAAUAAAUGUUUUGUUGUAAUCAAACCUCUAUUAUUUAGAAUGAAAUUUUUAUCUAAAUUGAGUUUAUGUAAAUUUAUAAUAUAAAAUUACAGUGAAUUCUAUAUAAAAUUUUAUCUAUUUACAUAGUUCAUAUAAAUUGGAUUUAAUCGUGUUAUAUGUGUGCAGUGUUAGAUCAUAUUAAUAUUCAUAAUGAUAUCAACGUUUGGUUUGCAUAUGUUUUCUUUUGUGCCUAAGCUAUAGGUAUGUCGAUCUAAGUGUAGUGGUUGGCAUCAAACUCAUUUUAGUUGAACCAAACAUGACUUGCGUGUUCUUCAGCAACAAUCGAAAGAUAUUUAUGCUUGACCUUCUAAUCCUCAUAAUGCAGCUACUGAGGCUCAUUUGCAUGCUAAGAUUCAUGAAUUAUGGCAUUGUGAUGAGUUGCUUUGGAAAUAAUACUCUAGAAUACAGUGUUUGCAGGAAGUGGAUAGAAAUACCUGGUUCUUCCACUUAUCUACCAUUCAAUGCCUUCAAACAUCAUCAGGUGAUUAGAUAGAGCAAACUGCUACUCUUUACUCUUUUAUUAGAAAUUACUUUCACCAACUCUACACUACUAGAUCUCUUCAGGGUUGUGAUAAGGUUUUAAAUCAUAUUCCUUCCCUGGUUAUUCCGGAGCUUAAUGCAAUCUUGUUAUCUGUUGUCUCUGAUGAGGAAGUACGUAUGACUGUCUUCUAACUGGGAGGUAAUAAAGCACCAGGUCCUGAUGGUUUCUCUGACUGCAGCAUAAUUGGCAUGUUGUUGGGCCGUCUCUUUGUCAUGUUGUACAUAGCUUUUAUGAUAUGGGUUUUUUGCUUAAGGAGUUUAACAAAACUAAUAUAUUUCUUAUUUCAAAUUGCCAUAAUCCUACUGGAAUUCACCAUUUUUGCCCUAUUAGCCUGUGCAACUUUAUUUAUAAGGUUAUUUCGAAGACCAUUGUUAAUAAGUUAAAACCAUGGAUGCAUUCUCUCAUCCCUGCAGAUCAGACUACUUUUGUUCCUAGUAGGGCUAUUCAGGAUAAUCUUGUAUUGCUCAUGAAGUGUUUCAUUAUCUAAAGACAUUUAAAAGUCGAUUGCAUUCAAUGGCUUUGAAACUUGACAUGUAUAAGGUUUAUGACCAAGUGGACUGGCACUUUUUGCAUAUGGUACUUAUCAAAAUGGGUUUUGCUAAGCGAUGGGUACAUAUGAUUUUACCGUGCAUAUUUUUUCUAUUUUAAUUAAUGGUGUUCCUUCUGCUCCUUUUGAACCUUUUCGAGGUAUCAGGUAAGGAGAUCCUCUGUCACCAUUUUUAUUUUUAUUUGUUUUCUAGGUUCUUUUAUACUUAUUAUCUUCAUCAUAUGCUCGAGGUCUCCUUCAUGGCAUUCUGGUAUCUCGAUAUGCUCCAGUAAUCACUAAUAUACUGUUUUCAAAUGAUACUUUAUUGUUUGCACGAGCAUCUCGAGAUGAGGCGAAUACUUUAUUACACAUAUUAUAGUCUUGUACUGUUAUUACUGGUUAGUGUAUUAAUUUUUAGAAGUCACAUAUCUUAUUCAAUAAUCGUACACCAUUGAAUCUGCUGCAGGAUAUUUUAUCGUGGUUUUCUAUUCAUGAGGUUGCUUCUUUUGAUAGAUAUUUAGGCUUUCCAUUGUUGUUGGGACGGUCGCGUCAACAAGCUUUGGCAGCAGUGGAGGAUUGAAUAUGCACAAAGACUCAGUCAUGGAAGCAUAAGCUACUAUCACAUACUGGACAUGUUGUGAUGCUUCAAUCGGUAUUGGCUGCUAUCCCUACUUAUUCAAUACCCACCUUUUUAUAUCCUAAGCAAUUUUCUGCUAAACUUAUCAGUUUGUUGUCCCAAUUUUGGUGGGGUGAUGGUCAGAACUAUUCAAAAAUUAGAUGGAUAAGUUGGCAACGCUCUUGUAGUCCGAAGUCUGUGGUGUUUUGGGCCUUAAGGAUUUUAAAAACUUUAAUUUGGCUUAUUUGGCAAAACAGUAUUGGAGACUCAUUCAGAAUCCAUUUAGUUUAUAGGCUAUAGUUUUCAAAGGUUUGUAUUUCCCACGUUCUUCAUUUUGAGAGAUUAGAGGUAAGCAUAAUAGCUCUUGGAUUUGGCAAAGUCUUUUAGCCAAUAGGGAAGUGUUGCGUCAGGGUGUAUAUAUAAACAUUGGUGAUGGCAGAGCUACUCGCAUUUGGUCUGACCCUUGGUUGCCCCCGUCUAACAGUUCUUUAUUGCAGCGAUUUCCUCAAUGUCCAUAUGAUGUUUGCGUAGUAUCAGAUUUAAUUGAUCAUAAUAUCCUUGAUUGGAACCAUAAGUUUGUAUUUUGCCUCUUUCUGGGGCAACAAGCUAUAUCAGUUUUAUCAGUUCUAGUUGCACCUCUUGACACUUUGGAUUUAUUAGUUUGGUGUUACAUGAGGGAUGGUCAAUAUAGUGUUCAUUUUGGAUAUAAACUUUUGAUGCAUAGUAGUCAUAUUUUAGGUUUGGGCAAUCAUGCGUCUUCUUCUGUGAUUCCUCAGUCUUGGAAGAGUAUUUGGUCUCUUCAGGUUAUUCUGAAAUUAAAAUAUUUUCUUUGGUACUCUUUUCAUAAUACUUUAUCAAUAUUGACUAAUUUAGUCAAAAUAGAUUAUUCAGAGGACUCUCAGUAUCUUAUCUAUCAGUCUGAACUUAAGACCUUAGAGCAUAUAUUUUUUCAUUGUUUCUAUACUCGAUUAAUAUGGUUUAUUAGUCCCUGUGUCUAUUGAUUUUCCUAAUUUUAUCUUGUGGCGGGAGGCGUUGUUGGCACAAUCUAAUAUAGAGUCUGAGAAUUCCUUGUUGUUAUCUCUUGUAACGCUUACACUAUGAUAUAUAUGAAAAGAGUAGAUUCGGUGUAAUUUUUAUAGAGUGACUUCUGAUCCCAUACUUGUUUUGUUCCGUAUAUUUCUUUAUUAUUUUUCACAGUUAUAACAUAAUGGUGUUUUUGUUGUUCUUUUUCCUUAUGUGCAUGAUCAUUCAAUUACUUGUGAUAUAUAAUUCUUCCUUCCUCAUGAGAUUUUUAAAUUUACUUGCGAUGUAUUUUGGAAGAAUCAAUUUUUUCCUGCAGCAAUAGUUGUAAUAAUUACUAAUAGUACAUGACAUAGGAUGCAUGAUAUAGCGAGACGAGUUUGGUAUUUGUCGGCUUUAGUAGAAGAAGUACGAGCAAUAUUGGAAGGUAUCAAAUUGGCUUUUAUUUUUUAUUUAUUCGCUAUUAUCUGUAAAAUAGAUUCACAAAUUUUAUAUAAUGCUGUUACAGUAUCUUUUAGAUUUCUUACCAUGGAAAAUUAGAGCAUUAGUGUUAUCUAUAUUUCAUAUUAACUCAUGUUUGCAGCAAAUUAUUUUAUAAAUAUAUUUGGUGACAUCAUAAUAUUUUGGUGGAUAUUGUUGCUAAAUUUUGUUUAAAUAGAUCAUUACUACAUAAUUGACUUUAUCAUCCUGUAAUUCUUAUCGUAAUAUUUUGUUGCAUUUACAAUUUUAUGCUGAUUAAAAUAAAAAAUAUAAAAGCUUGUGAAAAAUUAACAGUCUUGAAAUUGGUGUUCUCAAAUUUUAUUUUCCAAUUAUUCAAACUCUCUACUUUGUCUUUACCCAUUUUAUUUUAAUUUAUUUUCACUAAACUAACAUUAAGUAUUUAUUUUUUUCCUAUAACAAGGACAAAUAAUGCCUCUUUUUUUAUGCUUAAAAUCUAGCAAAUCUUAUUCUCGACUCUUCUCCUUUUCUACCUAAGACAAUAACAGAUAGCACUUCCAAGUUUCAACAUGAUGUGUGGUUAUUUUAAAUUAGCACAGAACUACAAUAAUAUUACAAUUUCAUAAUUCCUUGAUAUUAAAAUUACGUCAUUAUUAUUGAUUUUUUAAUUGGAGACUUAUUUUAAUAUAUUUUUUAAGAUUGCCGUACUAAAUGCAACUAUGAUUUACCAUGAAUUUCUCUUUUAAUUUUAAUGAUUUUAUAUAGAGAGAGCUCCUUGUUAGGUUUGACUAAGAGUGAAGUAAGCCUUGUGAAUAAUUUGAGACAACAAUUGUGAGUUGUCAAAGACUUAGAACGAGGACGAGUUUUACGAUGUUUAAGAUUAAAAAAUUUCGAGUUUAAAUUUUAAUAGUAAUUAAUUAUAAAAAAUAAAAUAAAACAAAGCCUUACCUUGAUGUUUUAUGACUAUUCAAUUGGAUCGGUUGAGAUAUGGCAGCGGAAUUAUUCCAUUCAUUAGGAAAACUUUACAUUUAAUCCAUACUUUUUUCUUCAAUUUUGUUCAAAAACUACUUUUAUUUUUUUUAUUGUGAGUUAAUAAUCAGGGAAUAUUUUUAUUACUUUUUAGUUUUAAUAAUUAAUUAGCACGAAAAAUUUUCAAAAAUUACAUUAAAAAAAUCACAAAUAUAUACAAGUGUAAGGAACAUUUUUAAAAAAUGACAAUAAAAAAACAUACUAAACUAAAAGGGGAAAAAAAAAAAAAAAUCUUUUUCUGGUAUAUAAAACAGAAACUAUGGCUUGCUUUCUGUGUCCCUGAGUGAUGUGCAACAUGUUACUCAGCCAACGAAAAUGAGGCAUUUUAGUAGUCAGCUUGGACGAGUAAUCCCAGCAUUCCUUGGGCUAUGGCAUUCAUUGUUGUUCCCUUCAAACCCCAGAGGACUGAGGACUCAGUUUUGCGGCUUUUUAAAUGGAUUAGCAGGGCGCUGACUGUUUACCUGAUUUACAUUUUCUUUCUUCUCAGUUUUUUGAUUGUUUGCUGACUUUACAAAUGGAUUAUAGGGGCGUUGAGAUUGUACUUUUGAAACUUCUGCAAUCUUCACCUGUCCCAAGCUGUUCAUAUUUCCACCAUUCUUUAACUUCUCAGUAUUCCCUACAUCCAACUCCGUUUCCUGGUGUGCAGUUUGUUUCGGAUCAGAUUUUUCCGUUUCAUCACGUUUAUUCACUUUCUUGGUAAACAGAGGAGCUGACAGUUGUGGUGACGACGACGGAAUACCAGGUUCCAGAGUUUCGCUUUUUCCUGAUGAAUAAAAGGUCUUGCUUCCAUUAACAUCAGCCCUCGUAGCCACAACACUGCUUGAGUUUAGCUGGGAGCGAUUUAGGGUCUCCUUAGACUCAUUCAGCAAUCUUUCCUGCAAUGGAGCAAACAAGUGUAAAUUACCAAAUAGAGAACAGGAAAAUUUUCCAAUCAGGUUGACUAACCUUAUUCACAUAUCAGAAAGGCUUACCUCCAAUAUGCUGUUGAAACGCUCUGCCAAAUUAGGAAGCUUCAAUGCAGUAACAAGCUUUAUUGCUCCUUUCACUGAUUUUUCCAGGGAUAAAAGCUUCACGAGUUCAGUAGCUCUUACAAGCUUGUCGCCUGAAACAACCAACAAAGAAGCAUACUGCUAAGGCCUAGGAGUAUAUUUCAUUUCAUUUCAUUUGGAAUUAUGCUAUAAAGAAAAAAAAAAAACUAGCAUUAAAUCAGUUUGAUUGUGCAAACUCACCAUUACAGCAGGAUGCAAUCAGCCUGAGGAUACAUCUAUCCUGAGCUGCUUCCAUAUUGAAAGACUCAUCAUCAAGUGCAUUAGUAUCCAAACCAGAUCCUGCCAUUUCUUCCAUUCUUCUCUGUAUCUGCAAGGCACAUACAUCCAACAUGCUCAGCAACACAAGAGCAUUAAAGAAGGAAAAAUCAUUAUAACCUUCCAAAAGGAGGGAAGAAGCAAAAUUAAUCACCAUAGAAAUUUAUAAGUUCUUUUAUCAAAUAAUAUAAUGAAAUGGAAAUGAAAUGAUAUCGAUAACAAAAGUUUAUAGAGAGAGAAGAAAGGAGUUCAGUUUUAGUGGAAGGAGAGAAGAACAGACCUGAGAGAGAUGCAUGUUAUUGAGGAUGAACUCAUUUUCAAGGACAUCAGCUCCCAGAUCAGAAGAAGCAAGAGGAAAUGAAAAAUUCAGCAGUGUAAGCACUGGUUUGGGCAUCACCUGUGCAGAGGAGCAAAUCAGUAACAAAAUUGUUGUCAGAAGAUACAGCGGAAGAAAAGGUAUCUAUCUUACCUGUGGAAACAAGUCAGGACUAUUACAAACAACACAAAACAAUUUGCUGGCAUUCAGUCCAACCAUCCAGUAGUUUUCAUUAGACUUCUUUUCUUUAGCAGCACUGCAGGACAGAGACUUUGUUAUGGAUGAGUGAUAGAGAGUAAAUCAAUAUUAGGAAAGGGUCAACUCAGAAUCAUUUAGUAUCCUUAAAAAGAAUAAUCUUGUACCUGAAGAGUGGGAGCCAACUGCCACCAUAUUGACUUGUGAAAACCCUCAAGACACCCUACAAAUUUUGCUCAGACUCAGGUGCACCAUCAGGAAGAUGUUUAUGAUUCAAUUGUUGAAAAAUUGAUGAGACAUACCUUAGAAUCAUAUGAACUUAAUUGGCCUUCUUCACUAAACCCAAACCAUGUUAGAUGCGAACCUGGACUUAAUGGCAGACGUCCUCUAAAUGGUUGGGUCCCAUUGGAUAUGUCAAAUACUCUGAAUUCUAGCAUCUGCAUAUUUGGGAAUAAGACCUAUUUUAGCCUUUUUCGGUGAAAGCAAAUAUUACAACAGAUCAAUUUACCAACAAAAUGAUCUCUAUUUCAUAUCAGAGUGAACAAGUUGAUUGAAUAACCAAGACUUAGACUCUGAUUAUGAAUCAAGAAAAUUAGGCCCCCUGGCAAUUUGUGUUCAGCCCCUUCUCUCCCUCUCCCUCUCCCUGAAAGUAGGAAGGCUAAUAAUAAUUGAAGUUAGACCUGAUCACUUGAGGGAAGACAAUCAGAAACAUGAGUGACAACUGCAAGUUGAUUUUUGAAGCCUGAUGCAGUCACUACUGGGCCAUCAAGGGACAGAAUAUGCCUCUGCAAUAAUAUGCAGAUGAAAGUAUAAGCACAAAUGGGAAAACAAAUCAGUAAGAACUAUGAAAAUUAAGCACAAAAUUAUUUAUUAAAGCAUGUGCAUAAUCAUGUUUUCAAGCUCUACAAAUCAUUCAAUGCAUUCUUAGUUGUCACUUGCCUGCUCAUGAAUAGCUCCAAGAAUCAACAAAAUAAGACAAGCCGACUUUUUACUAGCAUAAACAAGAUAAAAACACAUCACCAGACUGGAAAGAAUUCCAUUUUUCAAGGUUGACUGCUUUGGUUGUAGUUUCAGAUUUGAAAAAAAAUAUUUUGCAUGUCUUUAUCCAUAUGUAGUUACAACCUUCCCAUUUCUCUUUACACAUUAAAUGUGACGAACACUUCAACACCUGAUAAUUUCUACUUCCAUCACCAAUUUUGCAUUUCAUUCAACAUUACACCUUCAGAUGGAUGCCAUUUGAGAGCAGUUUCAUCACAAAAUAAUUCUGUUCUUUAAGCUAGAAAAUGAAAUGACAUAAAUUCAGGAGUCUGCACUGCACAAAGAUUAAUUUGACUCUUGGUUAAAUAGUUUUUAGUGAAGAAAGAAAAGAAAAUCAGAACUUUUGCAGGAAUCUUGUUUAGGAAACUAUCAUGGCCUGUCCAAGAACACAAAUAAAGCAGAAACUGAUUAUGAGAUUAAUUGAACAUGCAAGCUGUAAAAACUCAAUCAUAACAUGAUAUGAAAGUAAAACCUGCAAACCACCCUCUGUGUAGAUACGCAGAAAAUUAAGGCUAGUAACUGCAGCAACCCAAGCAGUGCCAAGUGCCACAACCUUCACUUCUUCCCCUUCAAAUCGCAUAGACCACUGAGUUUGCAUAUUAAAACAGUGUCAGCAGGAAAUAAAACAUGUACAAAGGUAAGUCCAUUCAAUACUGAGCUAACACAUAAAAUCACAACAUGAAGAACAUAGUUUGGAAAUUCAUAUCCUGACCUCACUGUUGUUUGCCCAGCUACCAAAUGGGCGAUACAUGAGAGUACUCAUGUUUUUCUCACCCUUGCAAGGAUUUGCAAAAACACUUCCAUUCUCAUUAAGUGAAGCCAUUGUGAAACCAAAGUAGUCAGUCAUUGAAGGAACUCGCGGACCUCUGCUAGUAUCAUGGAAAUCGAUCUGUAUGCAAUGAAUGACAAAACUAUCAGUAAACUUUUGCAAGAAAACCAUGUUGACCUCUUUAGAUUGAUGGAACGAUUCCAGCUAACCAUAGAAUUUCUUAUGCAAUCGCACUCUCACAACCCCCUUGCCAGAGGGGGGGAACUUAGCAUUAGAUGCAAGCAAUAGUGUAUGUUACCUCUAUAUGGGAGUAUCCAUCAUGUUCUAUUGUAGUUAUAGUUCCAAGCAUAUUGUAGCACAAAAAGCGCCUCUUCCCAGGCUGCACAGGAGUCCCCCCAGGCUGAAAAGCGUCCUGCAUUUUUGGCCUAGCAGAUGUCACUGUGAUUCUUUGCCCCUCUUUUCCCUUAUCCUUAUUUUCCUUCCCAGCACAAUGCACCUUUUUUCUGGGUUCAGCCUUUGGAUACCAGUUAAACUCAUCAUUGAUGUCUUCCUCUUGUUCCUCAUUAACUUCAGAUUGUUUCCGCAAUCUUUUCCUGCUUGGCAGUUCAGAUUCUCCAAGACUGUCUUCCCCAAUAUCACUUAAACUACCAGAUACACUGGGUUCCUCCUCAUCCUCCUCUUCAAACAAAAGGAGCCCGUUAUUGUUCUUUGACAGCAAACUUGGAAUAUCUUCAGUUGGUGAUUUCAUUGAAGGAGGAACAACUGAUUCCCACACACCAUACUUUCCCAUAACAUCAAUAACAGCCAAUGCAUUACCAAUUGGCUUCCAUGCCAUACAACAUAUUCUAUCAUCAAACUUCUGCCUGUCAAUGUCCUGCUUCUUAUCAACAUCCCAUAUCAGAACUUGCCUAUCUAAACCUGAAGUAGCCAUGUACUUGCCAUUAGGUGACCAAGACAAGAAACAUAUAGGUUGCACAUGAUCACCCCUCAAUGAGAAUAGCUUUUCAGCUGUAUCUCUAUCAUACAUCACCACAUCAUUUCUCAAACCAGGGACUGCUAAAGUCUCCCCAUCAGGGCUCCAGCUAACUAUAUUCAUGAAGGAAGUAUCUGAAACAGUAUUAGGAGCAAUGCCUUUAAGGGUAUGCAACAUUCCCCCAGACUGUAGUUCCCAGAAUAUGACUGUCCCAGUUGAAUCAGCAGAUGCCAAGUAUUCACCAUUAGGGUCAAAACCCAAGCCAGUAACAGGUCCUUUAUGUCCUUUCAGAACCCUUGCAAUUGAACCAUCAAUUGUAUUAAUGAGUUUAAUGCCUUCAUCAUCACCAGCAGCAGCUAGCAUGCUCCCUGACUUAUUAAAUGCAAGUGCACGUAUUGGCAGUGUGAAUCUGGUAAUAUUAGUCUCAAACUCCCCACCUGUAAAAGGAAUAACAGAAUUUAUCAAACUAGAAUUGAUAAAGAUAGUUAAACAUAUUAAAAUACUAACUAUACAGUAAAAUGAUCCUCCUACUUGUUUGGGACAACACAACGGAGUGUGCAGUAUGACCCCAUUGAGAACACAUAGUCAACCAGAUCAAUUUCAUAAAAAAGAAAUUCUGCAUUUGUGUUGUGAUUUUACAAAUGCUAAUCUGGUUUAACUAAUUUUCGAAGAUACUCCAAUUUGAAGUACAUGCCAAAAAUGCUUACAUAUUCAUCAAGAAUGUGGAUGUACAGAGAGACAAUCACAAAAUGGCAGACAUGAGAAGAAGAGCACUCAGAAUCCCCUUUUUCCCUUCAUACCAGAUGCAACGAAAGCCUUAGAUUUGUAUAGCUAUACCAUAAGCCUAAAUGUAACAGCAAAGCAUACAUCGGCAAAUUAUACAUAAUUUUUAAAAUUUCACCAAAAAAACCAUAUACAUCCAACCCAAAUAAUUCAUUAAAAAUGUAAAUUGAAUAAUGACAUUUCAAAUGUCAACAGAUGACAUCAUUCGGAAACCAUUCGAAGAUCCCAACAUCUCAUAUAUCGUAUGAAACCAUUCAAACCAAUCUCAACUUUAGAAGGAACGAUAAGCCCACUACUCCACACCUCAAAUCCAACUUCAAAACAACAACACAUUAUUUCUACUGCACAAAAAAAGUUGUGAAAAAAAAAUACCGGGAAACUUGUAGAGCUUGACGGAAUGAUCAAUAGAUCCGGAAGCGAGGCAGGUGGAGUUGGGGCUGAGGGCGAGAGCAGUAACGCCGUCACGGUGAUGUCGGAGAAUCCUGGGUACAUCUGAAAGGAGGAGAGAAUCGUGGAUACAGAUGGCUGGGUCAGAGGAGGAGGCGGUGACCAGGUGGGUGGCCUUUUGGUCCCACAAGAUGGAGCAGAAGGAAGGCUGGGUGGCAUUACUGGUGGAAGACUUGUGAGCUUCACGUAGCUUCAGCGUACGAAUUUUCAUAGUAAGAAAUUUGCAAGAGAGGAUCUGACUAGAAUUGAUCUGAUUUGGGGGGUUAGGGAUUUUGGAUUUCUGUUGUGGGUUUUUCCUUUUUAAAAUCAUCUUGCCGGGAAUUUGGGAUUUUGGCGGGAGAGCAGUGCAAAAGAUUUUUGAGCAGCGCGUAAAAUAAUGGAGUGGCCCAGUCCCAGUUGGUUAGCUGUGAAAUGAACUAAGGCUUAAGGUAUAGAGCCCAUCUAUACACUCGAUGACUCGAAGCCCUUCUCUGGAUUCGGACAGCCCAUGUUCGAGCCUAUGAUUAUGGUUUUGGACCCAAACUUCUUGCUUUGAUUUGUAUCUUAGGCUUGAGCCUUAUUUCCUUUGCAAUUGAGCUUCUUAGGGUUGAGCGUUAUUUACUUUGUAAUUUAGCUUUUUAGACCUUAUCCUGCAAUGAAAUUUUACCUUAUAAAAAAAAAACUCAAAGCAUAAUACUUAUGAUGAACAAUCCAUAUAAAUAAAAACAAAGUGUUAUAUCAACUAUAUAUGUUAUUUAGUGCCUAAACAUCUUUUUUAAUUAUUAAUAUGCUGCACUGUUUUCCUAGCUAUGACCGCUUGAUGGCGAUAAAAAUCAAAGAAUGAAGCUGCAAAGUGAAGUGGUCAUUCUAUAAUAUACAUGAUACGUUGAUAUAGUAUGUUAAUCGAAUUCGAGUUAAUAAAUAUAUAUAUGUUUUUUUUUUAACAUAAUAAGGAGGGUAUUAAACCCUUAAGCAAAGUCACGAGGUCAUAUAACUCCAACAGCAUCAGCUUGUAAGUAGUAACGAGACUCCAUAUAAGGCAUUUUUAAAAUUUGCAUCCCAAAAGGGCCUCCAACUGACGAUUUCGCUAAGCAAUCCGCCACAGAGUUAGCCUCGCGAAAGAUAUGCUUGCAAUAAACUUUCCAUGCAUAACCCACCAAAGUCGUAAUCUCAAAAACUAGAUUCUUAAUCCGGCCUGCUCCAUCUAAGCUUUUCUCAAUUAAUUGCAUGGCCACCUGUGAAUCAGUUUGAACCUGCACAAAUUUCCAUCCUCUAUCCCACGCUGUCUGAAGGCCCAAAAGAAUGCCCCAAAGCUCAGUUUCAAUUGCUGUACAAGUACCCAAGGUAGAUUGAUAGCCAAGAAUUCAAUCACCAUUACUAUCUCUAAAAACCCCAGCACAACCCGCAGGUCCUGGACAACCCUUAGCUGCACCAUCUGUAUUUAUAGCAAUCAAUCCCAUAGCAGGAGGGGACCAAGAAAUAAAGGUGGUGGACGAUCUAGAAAUAGUAUGGCCCAUUCCUGAAGCACGUUUCCAAGUUUCAGUAUUCUCAAGAGUCUGCUGUAAAAUAAAAUGUUUGGACAUAGGCGGGUUCUGCGCAGGACUCUCAAAGAUCACCUUAUUUCUUCUUUUCCAUAAGUACUAGAUUCCCAAAGGAAAAAUAAUGUUUCAUUGUUGUCCAUCCAUUUGGGUAUAGUUAGACUUUAAAUUAGCAAAAAUCCAUUCAGUAGAGUCGACAACGGUAAAAAUUGAACUUAGAAUCGAGAAUUAGGAUAAUAAAAAUUGAGAUAUUUUAGAUUUACUUAAAUAUAUUUACCACAGACUAAAUCUUAAUUUAAUGUGCAUAUAUAUAUGUUAAUCAAACCAAACAAAUUUAAUCUAUCAAUAACUGUAUUUAAUUAAAUUUUAUAAAAACAUAAAUUCAACUCUCGUCCUUUAUAAAUGUAAAUAUACUAAUAUUAAUCAAGGUUUUGUGUUAUUUUAACUUAUUAACAGUGUAAUUAUUAUUUAUUUAUAUUACUUUAGAAAAUUUUGAUAUAUUUAUAUAAUAUUUUUAUUACCCUUAAUUUUUAAUUUUUAAUGUUAAUUUUAUUUUAUUGAUCUUGGAAUUAUAUAUUAAUUAUUAUUUUUAAUAAAAUAUUUUUUAUUAAAUUAAUUUGUUAAGAGUAAUAUUUUUUAUAUUUUUAAAUAAUAAAUAAAUUUAAAAAUAACUAUAUUGUUACAUAUUAUUUUGCUUUGUUGGAAAACUUUAUUUAUUAAUGAAACAAUUUAUUGAUUAUAAAAUUUAAUAUACUGGUUACCAUUUAUUAUAGGAGAAUAUGUUAUUAUAUGAUUCUUUUUUAAAAAAUAAAUAUUUUAUUAUAAAAUUGUAAAAAUAAUUUUUGAACUUUUUAGUAAAAUCUUCAUUUUACAUCAUUAAAAUUUUGAGUGAUUUGAAUAAAAAGUUAAUAUAAAAAUAAUUAAAUAUGAUUAUAAUUUUAAAUAGAACAUAAAAGUGAGUUUAAGCUCAGCGGAAGUGAGUUUGGAUCAAUAUAAAAAAUUUCAUAAACAGCUUGCAUACUCAUCCCAUUAAUUUUUAUUUUCAAUUAAAAGAAUUAUAACUUAUUUAAUAAAUAAAAAAUAAAAACAAAUUUAUAAUUUUAUUUUCUCUAUAUUAUAUUUUAAAUUAUCAAUUUUUUUAAAAUAUUUAAAAAAUUACAAUAAUAUACUAUUUAAUAAGAGCAAAUUUUUUAUGAAUAUGAAAAUAAACUGUAUUAAUUUCUUUAACUUUACCUUUAGUUAUGAUAUAAAUAUUUUUUUUAUCAAAUGAAUCUUAAAAUAUUUUAAUAACAUUAUUAAAUAUGAUGAAUUUUUAAUUUAUUUUUAAAAAAAUUAUAUGAACCAUGAUUUGAAAAUUAAAUAUACAAUGUUAAAAAAAUUAUUAUAAAAUGAUGCAAAUAUUAAUUAUAUUUUAAUUUAGAAUAAAUUAGAAUUAAACAUUAGAAAUAAAAAUUUUUAUAUAAAAAAUUCACAAAAAAUCUUUUUAAUAUUUACUUUAAACAAUAAAUAUUUAAAAUGUGGUUUAGCAUUAUUUAGAAAAUUUUCGCCAUAUCUAGACAAUUUUCAAUUGAAUAGAAAAUUUUUUUAAUAUUUAUUUUUUGUUCUUUCUAUAUUAAAUUAAAUAAGGUAUUAAAUAAAUUUAAUUUUUAUUUUUUUAUAUUAAAUUAAAUAAAAAUAAUAAAUAAUAUAAAAAGAAAAUAGCAAUAUAAGAAAAUUUAUUAUUUCCCCUCCCCUUCCUACAUUUAUAUAUAUUAUAAAUAAGUAAAAUAUACCUAUUAUCUUAGAGCCGUGUUGAUCCUUGGUUUGGUUUCGUCAAAUUGCAAUAAUUUACAUUAAAUAAGUUUAUUUACUGCGAUUUACUAGUGAAACUAUAGACUUUCAGAUUGUCACCACUAUAUCCAGCGAGACAUGCAACAUCCCAAAGCAAAGCAGUCACAAUCUCUAUUUUCUCCUCUUGAUGUAGUGGGAAGGGUUGGCUGUUCUUUAACGGUUUGUUGUUCUAUUUGAAUGGUUUUCUGGUUGCUGAUAGAUUUGAUUUAUUGGAUUUUGAUUUGCUUUUAAUUUGAUUUUAUGAGUUGUUUUCUAAAGAGAGUUUGAUUUGUAUGGUUGGACUUGCUCUUUAAAAUCCAAAUCUUUACCCAUUAUAGACUUCAUUGCAAUGAUGCAUGUUAAAAAUCCGAUAAUCAAUUGUUUUCCUCGGAGAUGAUUAAUCAAUUAGUGAAAGUCAUCAGAUCAGGUGGCCUGAGUGCUGAAAUUGCAUUCACAUUAGAUCAGAAUUCGGAUGAACUAGUUAAUUAGCUAUGAUCACAAUGCAUUGCGAGGUUAACUUUUCCUCAAAGGCCAUGUGACCAUUUUCCUCAAAGGCCACGCCCGAGGUGAACUUUCUUCAAACCCAGUUUAACUUUUCAACAACUAAUUACCUUUGUUUUCUUCAUCUUUGAAUUUUACACCUUAGCCUCUACAGAUCCACGUUGCUUUAGAAUCUCCAUCCCUACCCAACAAACAAGGUUUCUAAAAUGAUUUUGUUGAGAUUCUUAAAAUCGAAAAGCUUUUAUUUCCAUUCAUUAUUAACUUUAUUUUGUUAAUUUCUCACACAACAUAACCUAAAUGUUGAUGAAGGUAGAGAAGUAAGCAUAAGAUUUGGUUGCUUAAUUAAUUAAUGGCCAUCUGAUUAAGCUGUGCGUGGCUUUGACUGAAGUUCUUUUUACAGAAGCCAAUAUAUAUCUAGGGUUUUGUAAAUUAAUUAAUUAUAAUUUGCAGGCUAACAUGCAUGCUGCUAUAUUCAAACUAUAACAUCUCUUUGCUUUCAUUUUCUUGGUCAAAGUAGCAUUUUAAAAUUAAGUUUUCCUAGGCUCCCUUUUUCUAAUUCCAAAAUAAUUUAUAUUAAUUUGAAUAAAUUAAGAGAUCCAGUGAUUUAAAUUAAUACCAAUUGUCAUCAUAUGAUAAUCAUUAAUCAUUAUGUUAAUCAUAUUUAAAUGAUAAUAUUUCAUCUUAGAAGGAUAAUAUAAUAAAAGUAUAUCUAGAAAUUUCUUAAAUAUUAUUAGCUAUCACUCUUGGCCAAGCCCAAGAAAACUUUUGGUAUUGGGAACAGAAAACCUUCCUCGUUGAAUGAAUGGCGGCAGACAAGCGCUGAACACUCGUAUCUUCUAUGUCACGCUAUCAUGAACCUUUUUCCAAACACUUGGAAGCAAGCCACAAAGACAACAAUCUCAACCCAAAGCUUUGAAAAAUCAUUUGUGUUUUGAGUUUCCCUCAAAUGUAUGUAUGCUUUAUGGAAUCACAUGUCAAGUACUUUAUCAAGAAAAAUAGUACAAGCUGUUAGAAUUUAGAACCCUACCUUUGACCUUUCUUUAGACUCUAUAAAGACCCUCUUCUAUCUUUCACAUGAUUCCGCUCUUUUGCUGUCUGAUAACAAACAUACCUAAAGAAGAAAGGGAACAUAAAAAUGGCGUUCACAAGGUUUAGUAGCUUUCUACUCAUGUCCAUUCUUCUGCUACAUGUAGGAAACUCGAGUACUGUUGUUGUUCUUGCCCACCAAGGUACGUAGUUAACCUUUGUUUGCUAAUUAGAUUUUGUCAUGAAAUCUUGAUUAACGAAUGUUUUUAACUUUUUUUGCAGCGAAGAAGAUACCGGUAGUUGCCGAAGGCGGUGAGCUUCCAGUUGCAGAAAGCACGCGCAGUUUGGUAAAUAUUUAAAUCAAACACUUAUUGAGCUGCACAAUAAUGAAGUUGUAAUCCUGAAAGAAUUGAACUUUUCUAUUAUCAGGAAAUUUCUGAUGGUGUACCUGCUCCCAUGGAUGAAUUAAUUAGCAACACAAGGCUUGGAGGAAGAAAAAUGAUGCCGAUGAAAAGGGUUUUGACGAAAAAGAUGAAAGAAGAACCAUUAAAUAAAGAAGACUCGGAGAUUUCAGGUGCAGCUCAUUUUGUAGGAAACUGUAAGAAUAGAGCAGGGAAGGGAAUUUGGGUUGAAAAGCGUAAAUUGAUGAGGGAUAGGAGGUCUAAACCUUCGAAGGACAAAAGAGUUAGUUUUAAAGCUUUCAGCGCCGAUUAUCAUGUGCCAAAAUCCCACCCUCCCAAGAAUAACUGAGAGCUAGCAAGGACAGUAGAGAAGAGAAGCACCCCCUAAAAGAUAGCCAUGUGUUAUCUUUUUCAAUUUUGGUUUCAUAUAUGUUUCUUCCCUUUAAUCUUUUUUUCUUGAUAGGUGUUCUAGCGAAUACAAGCUCAUAUUUGUAUGUCUGAAAAUACAGAUCUAACAUUGAAUAGAAUUCCAUUAUCCAAGAUCAUUUUCUUCUGUUUUUAUUUACUGAAUUGCUUUGGUUAAAGCCGCAAAAAUCUGUCUAUUGUUAUUUUCUUUUUAUUUGGAUGUUAAUUGAUGCAGGAAAGAGUACAUUUGCUUCAAAGAACCCCCGAAGCAGACUGUUGCAUGCAAACUCAGAAAAUCCCAGAAGCCAGCAAGCUCCUGCCAAGGGUCCAUGCUUCCAAUAUUUGAAGCCUGUUUCAGCUACUACAGGCAGCAGCUUGGAAUGUUCAUCAAAGUCAAUAAAUCCAAUUCCCCAAGAACUUGACGGUUCAUCUCAGAAUCUUGAAUUCCAAAAGCUUCUUGACAAGGCUGCAAUGGAAAUUGUUAACUUGAUGAAUAAGGACUACACAGGAGGAGGAGGUCCUCGUCACAAGCCUCCAGUCAACAAUGAACAACCUAUGAGUAUGAGUGAUCAACAACAUGAUCUGAUACCCUAAAUAAAUUGUUAGUUCAAAAAAUUUUGACCCCAUAUGAAAGAAAAUCCUCAACAGUACUAAUUUUUGUCCUUUUCCUUUUUGCUAGCUUAUUUUGCUUUCCCUCUUUCUUGUGGCUAUUGUCGCAAAUGCAGCAAUAUGUCCUGUGGAAAUUGCCAACGCAUUCUGAAUCUUCUUAGUGAGAUGAAAUUUACUGGAUAUGAUUAUCUUAGCUAUAUAUUAAUUACUGGAUAUUUUUCUAAAAGAAAUAAUUGCUUAAAUUUAUCAAAAUUUAAGCAAUUAUACGAUUUAAACUUGAUUUGAUACACAGUUUUUGUGUCUAAACUUUAGAAAUAUGUAUUUAAUUUUAGCUCAAUACAUAUUUACACACCAUACGAGUUAAAGAUUGAAGAUGGCACUAGGGUUAAUCGGAGUGGGCUGGGCUUGUUUUUGUUUGGUUGCAUCUUUCAAUGCUUUGCGCUUUGCUGGGCUUCAUAUGUAGGCCCUUAGUUUAGCUACGCUUGUACCUUAAUAAUUCUCCAAUGAAGUUCUACUUCCUCAGAAAAAUUAUUAUUUAAUUUUUAUAAUAUAAAAAAAUUUAUUGAUUAAUUUUUUAAUUUUAAAAUUAAUUAUUUUAUUUUUAUAAUUUUAAAAAUUUAUUAAUUUAUUUUUUAAAUUUUUAAUAAUUAAAAUUAAUCAAUAAAUUACUUUAUAGACCUUUUAAAAUGUUAAAAAUAUUUUAAUAUAUUUUUUAAAAAAUCAAAUUAAUAAAUUUUUUAAUAAUAUAAAAAUUAAAUAAAAAAUUUUCAAUUAUAUAAUAAAAUAUUUAUAUUAAAAUAUUAAAUAAUAUAAUAAAUAAAUAGAACCGACACAUUUAUGUAAAAAUAGUUAUAUUUUUCGUUAAAAAAAUUUAAUAGUUAAUUAUUAUAUUUUUUAUGAUUCAUUUAUCCUGUUUUAUUUAUCUAUUUAUUUUUAUUUUUAUUUUUAUUGGUUUACGCAUAGAGGGAAAACAAUAAAGAAAAGACAGACAGCAGAUUUGCAAAGCAUUUCUGUAAUAAAAAUUUACACUUAUCACCACCAUCUGCAAAGCUCAUUCGUUCACAAAUAUCUUUCAGGAAAGGCAUCGGGCCAGGCGGAGGAAACCCCAAGCUCCGUAAAAGCUUCUUCUUGUUUUGCUUAGACAAAUUUAAUUCCGGCGAAUGAAGUUUCGCUGGGAAUUGAGGCAUCACUCGCGGGUUCCGGUAGUAAUAGGCUUUAAUUUCAGGAACACGCUUGCUCGGAAUUCCGCUACGACUCAUCACCGCCAAUUUCAAUGGCGAGCCACUCACCGCCCAAUCCACAUAAGCGCCUCAAGUCCGUUCUUUCCAAUUCCCGGUGCACAGUUAAAGAAGAAAACCACCCGUACGAAUCCUCACCAGAGCAGGAGGGAGAAGAAAAUCAAUCACAGCGGAACCCAUCAGUUUCAGUCUCAAUGAACGGUGAGGAUUCCUUGAGCUGUGGAAUCUGUUUGUCUGAUCAUGGGAGCGCAAUCAGGGGCCAAAUCGACAGCUGCGAACACUUUUUCUGCUUCAUUUGCAUUAUGGAGUGGGCAAAGGUCGAGUCUCGUUGCCCCAUGUGCAAACGCCGGUUCACCACCAUUCGCAGACCUCCAAAGGACGGUGUAUUUCCCUCUGAACGCAUCGUUAAUAUCCCCAAACGCGACCAAGUAAGAGUUCUUCUCAAUUCUGUUCAAAAAUUAUAUGCUUUUGUUUUCUCCAUUUAUUUUUCUUGAAGAUGGUGAUCACGUUUAUUUGUGAUAGUAAUUAAGUGUCUGUGGACUGAAAAUUGCUUCAAGGUUGCUACUCAGGCUCUGUUUAGAAAUGGGGAUAAACAUUCUUUCUUUUUUAAUGAUUUUUUUUUUCAUAGCAGCUAACCAAUAAGAUUCAUAUUCAUAUUAGUUCACAUGAAAAGUCUAAGAGUAGUAUGACACUAGUGUGUGUUUCAGUGUUCGGUAAGAUGUAAUAGAACGUAAUAGAAUGUGUUAAAAUUCAACAGAAAAGUGAAAUAAAAAUUCAUUUAAUUUCAUUACAUUACAUUAUACUCGAUUACUUUAUAAGAAAAAUUAAGUUUUAAGUGUACCAUGUCGAGAUAUCUUAUGGCCUUGUGUUGCAGGUAAUGUGGAUCAGGUAUCAUACUGUGAUUUGUUUAUCAAUCAAUUGUUAGUGUGGAUAUAUGGGUUACUCCAGAUGACUGUGUCAUAUACUAACAUGUAUUACUUUCUAGGUUUGCCAUUUCUCAAGAAACACCACAAUUGAGCCUUUUGAUCCCUAUGAACAAGUUCAAUGUAGUAUCUGCCGUCUAGUAGGAGAUGAAAAUCUUCUGCUACUUUGUGAUCUUUGUGAUUCUGCUUCCCAUACUUAUUGCGUUGGCCUGGGAGCCACUGUUCCUGAAGGUGAUUGGUUUUGCCAUGACUGUGCUGUUUCCAGGACUGAACAUGACAAUAUUCAAAAAGAUGAUGACAAUAUGAAUCAGGAAUUAUAUGCAAAGUCCCUGGUAAUGCUGACAGCUGAAUCACAUGUUUCCAUGUACAAUGAUGUUGUUGACAAUCAGAACACCUCAGGAAACUCCAAUGUCUUGGCAGUGGAUGAGAUUGAUGUUUCCAUUUUUGAUAUUGUUCGUGAAUCAGAUGACCAAUUGUUUCGCAGGCCACAAACAAGACGCUCACCUGUUUUUUUGGGCUGUGAGAGGCAAUCUAGUCUUGCAAAUGAAUUGACUCAGCCAGAUGAAAUAGCUCCUCAAUUUAGGUCAGUUGAAGGAGGGCCUCAUAGUGAUGCAGAUAAUGUAGCUCAAACUGGUGCCAGAACAUUGAGUCGAUGUCGCAAUGUGCAAGGUUACAUAAGAGCACUGCGUGAAAAUUGGAAUUACUUGCGAAGUGGGUCCUUGAGAUUCUCUUCCAGUCCAAGCAAAUCUAGUACUGGAAAACAUAAUGCUUGUGCAGUAUCACAUGACAAUUCAGCUGUACCACAAAGUAAACAUUCUCGUGAUAUUGACAAGGCCUGGAAAAUGAUGGACAAGGCAAAGUCAAUACAACAAGUUUGUAGAAGAACUAAAAGUGUUCAUGGGGUGUCACAAAAUCCUCGCAAUGAAGGCAAUGCUUCUAGAAAAGCAAUCGAUGGAAGGUCAAGUCUGUAUUUGCCAAGAAUCCAACAAUCUAGAACUACAGAGUUGGGGAAUACUGGAACUAAGAAGCAGUAUAAUCUUUAUUCUCCUGAAAAGAAAACCGACAUGCAUACAUCCACUAAUUUGGAAAUGCAAAAGCACUCUAAGGUGGUGAUGAAGGAAAUUGUAGAAUGUAAUGACAUUCUACCAACUAUUUCUUUCCCACAAUUUUCUGUAUCUGAAUCAUCUUGGAAGGUGCAGACUAACAGUCCAAGCAAUGUCUCUGAUGAAAGUCGAGAAACAAUCCAGCAGAAAAAUCCUUGCAGACCCUUGUUAAAUUUUUCUAGUCAGCAAAAUAUAUCAGGUCAUUUGAUAACUUCAGUUAGCUCUGAGCCAGGAGCUUCUGAAUCAUUAAAAGCCAAAGAGGAGUAUAGUGGAUUGUCCCGCUGUAAAGUUGAUAUUCCCAAGGGAGAUGUUAGAAUGGAAAAAGCUUAUGCUGAAAGCAAGCACAGAGAAGAUGAUGAUGCUAAGAGUGAGAUCCAAUCUCUUGUCAAGCUCAACUUAAAGCUUCUAAGUAGGGAUAAACAAUUAGGUAAGCUAAUAUGCGUGCACCAGUUAUUUUAUGGGGUAAGAGGGGAGUCAAUAUAUGUGGAGAUUAGAUUACAAGAUUCAUUUUUCUUUUCCUUCUCAAUUUUUUUUUUCUUUUAGAUUUUUGUUCUUGCCAUGAUUGAUGAAGUGUAGAUAAGUGAGCAUUACCUUCUGUGUUAAAGAAAGUAGUUCUCUCCUUAAUUUUUAUUCUGCAGAAAUUAAGGCAUUCAAGGAAGUUGCAAGGCUUGCAACACAUACCAUUUUGGCUGCAUGUGGCUUUGGGCACUCAAGGCAUGUUAUCCACUCUUUCCCAGGUUCUGUGUGCAAACAUUCAGAACAGAGUCAGCAACUUCGUAAAUCCACUCUAAUGCGGAAUUCAUGCCGAGAAUGCUUUUAUGUCUUUGUGAAGGACGUUGUUAGCUCAAUUCUGUCUGAGAAAGUAUGUCCUGGCAACUCAUGAGAAAUUCUCUGAUAAAGGAUUGGCACUGCUAUUUUACAGAGUGCUUUUCAUUUCCUGUACUUUUCAUUAUGCUGAAAGCAGCUAAGUACCUUCUGUUGCCUUCUUUCUGUCUCAAGCUAGAGACAUACUUGGCCGCAACCAAUCUGUAUUUUCCACUUUUCUUUUUUGUGUAGCAUUGAAUGUCUUCUGUAAAAAAUAAUGCUUUGUAUAAUACUUGUAACUUAACAUUCUGCAGCAGCAAUUUGCAAAAUGAAAAUCAGCUUAUAUCUAAUAAUGCACUCAGGAACUGAACUGCUGAACUACUAUGAGUUGCUAAUAGUUGGACUAACGUGCUUGAAUCGCAUGCACUAGUGUGUAUAAUAAAGGCAAGUUUAAAUUUAAAUAUUUAUAAUAUAUUCUUAUACGACCUUAAUUUUCUUUUCCCCAUAGGUUUGCUCUUUAUUUUAUUUAACAAAAAGGAGUUUAUUUUCAUAGGUUAUAAAGUUCAUUCUCAUAUGAUUUUAAUUUUUUUUUUUAAAUGAAAUAUUUUUAAGUUAAAAUAAUUAAAAUUUUCAUUUUAAUAAAAAAAUUAUUAUAAAAGGAAUCAAUUGAAUUAAAAUUUUUAAUUUUUUUUUAAAUUAAGUGAAAAUUAAGAUAAUUUUCAUCCAAAAUCACUCAACUUUUAGUAUAUUUUCAAUUUAGUUACUCAAUUUUAUUUUUUUUUAUAAAACUACUCAAACUUUAGUUUACUUUCAUUAAAUCUCUUUUUACUUAUUACUAUAGAUUUUCAUAUCAACAUAAAUAAAAAAUAAUAUUUUUCUCUCUUUCUUAUUAUCUAUUUUUCCAUUUUUAUUCUCUUUCCAAUUUCAUUUUACUUUUCUUUUUUAUUAGUCACAUAAUUUAUUGAUUAUUUAUUAUUUAAUUUUAAUAAUUUAAUUAAUAUUUUUAUAUUUUAUUUUUAAUCACACUAAAAAAUUUAUUAAUAAUAAAAAUAUUAAUUAGAUACACUUUUCUUUUAAAUAUUAAUGAAUAAUUUUUAAAUAUUAAUUUAGAUAAUUUUAUAGAUGAAUUUUAGUAUUUAAGCAAUUGUGUUGUGCAUAUUAUUUAUUAAUUUAUUUUAAAUAUAUAAUAUUUUUGUAUUUAAAAUAAUAACAUAAAACUUUAUUAAAAAUAAAUUAUUUAUUAAUUAUCAUUUUAUUUCAAAGGUUAAUGAAUAAGGUUUUUAAAUAGUUAUUAACAUAAUUUUAUACUUAUUUAUAACAAAAAUUAAUCUUAGAUAAUUUUUAUUUUAUUUUUGUGAAAUAAGAUUUUAAUAUUUAAAAUUUACAAAUAUUUUAAAAUAAUAAUUUAUAGAAAAAAAAAGAAUAAAACAAAAUUAUAUAUUAUAUAUAUUCUUUUGACUUUAUUAAAAAAAAUAACUGAUGAUUAUUAAAAAUGUGAUGUUACUUUUAUUUUUUUUAAUUAAAAUAUAAGGAAUAUUAGUUUAAGAAAAAAAAAAGAAAUUAUUUUAUUUUUAAUUUUGCUACUCUUUUGUUAUGGUACUUACCUAUAAUAAUUUUAACUAACUCUAAAUUUUUGUAUAUAUUCUAAAAUAAAAUUGUAUAUUUUUUUUUUAAGAAAAGAAGAGAAAAGAGAAAAUAUUUAAUUUUUUUCUUAUAGAUAGAGAAUAAAAGUAUAAAAAUAAACAAUAGAAGAAGGAGUUUCUUUUUUAAUUUAUGUUAACAUUAAAACCUAUAAUUAUAUGGAAGAAGAAGUUUAAUGAAAGUUUAAUUGAAAUUUAAGGAAUUUUAAAAAAUAAAUUGAAGUGGAGUGAUCAAAGUGGAAAUAAUUUUUAAUGAUUUUAGAUGAAAAUUACCCAUAAAAAUAGAAAGAAAUAAAAGUGAAAAUAAAUAACACAAAAAUUUUAACAAAGUACAAGUAAAAUAAAAAUGUAAUAUUCUUGGUGAGUAAUUGAAUUUACAUAUGCAUUCAAUCCAUCUAAGAUUGGAUUUCAUCCAAAAUUAUGAUAAAACUUCCUUAAAAUUUGAAUUUCUAUUAAUUUUUUUACAUAUGCAUAUGAAAAUCUUUAGCCGAUGAAAUCUAAAUUCAUCUCAUGAUCAUACUUACUAGACUCUUAAUGGGUACCCUAAAUAAAUUAGAUAAUUCUUUCUAAAGAAUAAGUAGACUUGCUCUUGAAGGGAGGAAGAACAUUUCUUCAGUUCAUAAAGAUAUAAUACGCAAACUUAUAGAUCUGUUGUGUUUCGAAUCUAUAUAAACCAAAUUUGGAAAAAAAAUUUUUCCUGAAUUUAUAAUCUUCUUAUGUAAUGAUUAACUUUGGAUUUUUGGUUUGAAUGGACAUGAGAGACCAGACAUAGUGGAUUGAAGAUUUGGGGAUUAUUUUAAAGCAUUUAGAAAGUGGGUGAGUGAGUGGUGAAAUUUAGGGCGUGACCAGAAGUGAACAUGCAGGAGGCUGCAACUUUUGAAACUAAUUACUGUGCUUGUGCAAUUCUCAAACCAAAUCCAAUUAUCUAAAAGCAUUCUUUGCUUAACUUCAACUCUAAUCAUUUACAACACUACUUGAGUAUGGAAUAUACUUAUUAAUCCAACUUAAUUAUCUCUGCCCAAUAUAGCAAUAAUUUCCGGAAUGAAAUUCUUACUAUAUAGAAGGAAAAAAGAGAAGGGGAGCUAUUUACAAGUGAGAUGGGCCUUAGAUGAAACCUAACAUACCUUUAUCCUUAAAGCCAGUAAGCUUCAACUUUAUUUCCAACAUGAAAGGCUCAAAGCAAAUUCAAAAGCAUGUGUCCUCAAUUGGACGACACCUAACAUACCUUUUAUCAAGUAAUGUCCUCAAUGUGCUCUUGAAAAUUGGAAUCGAAGACUUAAUCUAACAAAGAAUUGGGAAGAAACAAAAUAAAAAAGAGUUCGAUUAACACACUUGUUGUACUAAGAGUAGGCCACGUUUGAGAUGUCCUAACCAGGCAAAGCUAAAAGGGUGGAGGCACGCGAGGGGAGCACGUGAGAAAGGCCACGUCAUCUUUCUCAAAAUUGGAGAGACCCAUGAAUUGAAGAACAGGUGAGUCGGGUUCCCCACUCAGCGAUAUUUUUUUUUGCUUUGAGUGGUAACUCGUGGGUCCCCCUUCACCCCCACGUGACACCGUCACGAGAAAGAGAAAUUAAAAGACGCACCGCCUCCUCCAAUGUCUUCAAGCAUGUGCUCUCUCUCACGUGCCACUUGGUUUGUCCAAAAUCCCCAUGCCCCUAUUUUUUCUACCCAAACUACCCCUCUCGACACUAAACUUCACAGCCCCCGUCACUUUUUUUAAAAAGAAAUUAAAGGAAAAACAAAUGUAUGGAUUCUCAAAUAGGAAUGCGACAUGACAAAGAUUAUAUUUUAAAGAUUUUAUACGACACUAAUUUAUAUAAAACAUGUUCAUUUGUGUCUUAAUUUUAUAAUUAUUUUAAAUACUCUAUUGAAUUUUAAUGCUUUAUGUAAUAGUAAUUAUUACUAAAAAUAUAUAAUAAUUUCCUCUUAUUUGAUAAUAACAUUUUGAUUUUUUUAUUAUAAAAUAAUGGAAACUUGAGAUUUUCUCAAGCUUCUUAUUUGUUGAUGUGAUAUGAGAGGCCACGUGAUAUGGGAGGCGACGAUGCGGUAGGCGGACAGGCAUUUUUAAUCACGUGAUGCUUUGCGGAUUCCACGGACAAACUGACACCUGCCCAAUUAACUAAGUAGAGAAACACAAGUAUUAUCCAGGAAAGCGAGUGGGAGGAAAAAAAAAUUUGCGAAAAAUUAUAUGCACUCACUCUAAUUUUAUCUUCAAUAAUUUAUAUAUAUUCGUUGUAUGAUAAUUUGCCAUACCUUAAUAUAUAUUAACAUAUAAAUAAAAUUCAUUAUAUAAUUAAUCUCCUGUUAUAGUAUUCAAUUACAGGAAAAAUUCUCCGUUAUCAUUAUAUAAAAUUUUAUGUGAAUAAUAAUAUUAUGAGUGUAUGUAAUUUCCAUUUAAAUAAAAUUUUCCGGUUAAACAGUGAGCGGCUGGUGUUGGGGUUGCGCUUUUUUCGCGAUUGUAUUGUGGUUUUUCCGGUUAAAAUCAGCGUGAUUGGGACCCAAAGCAGUGGGCAUUUGGUCGGUAAGGCCUUCUCUCUGGGGGGAGGGAGAGCCAGAGGGGUGGAGAUUGCAUAUGUCCUUUAGUAAUUUUGCACGUGAGUUGCGGGGUCAACUCACGUGGCCCACCAUUUUGUAUCUGUGACGACAAGUCAUGAAAAUGACCACACAUGACUUUUUCACGUUACAAAUACAAUACCCUAUCUUGAAUGCUCCACCACACGUACCUUUGUCACGUGCUUCCUCCCAAAUUAAACCUUCCCGUUCAUUUUUCUCCAUUAAAAUUUACCUUUCCCAAUUAAAAAUAAAUAAAAUUAAUUUUCAUAAAUGUCGAAAUCUCAAAAGAGAACCAUAUGUUGAGAAUAUUUACUAUUAUGAUAUAAAGAUGCAUUGGAUAGCAAAUUAGCAUGAGGCCAAGAUUCCAACAAUUUUAGAAAAUUACAACAACACAUUCAUGCCUCCUCCCUCUAUCAAAACUAUUAAUACAAUGGGCUAUCCAACCCUAGGCAUGUCUCUAUAACGUGUACCACAUCCAAACCAUAAAUAAAUAGGGAAAAAGAUGCCACUUCCCACUAUUCCAUAUAUACAUGUUAUUAAUUAGGGAUAACAUUGGAAGGUGCAUGAAUCUUUGUACUAAAAUUUUGUUUAAUUACUCUUUGCUAAAUAAGACUUAAAGAAAAAAAAAGAAAGCUCUGCAAUUCGCGGCAGUACAAAGGGGAGGACAAGGCACGUGACAUAAGCUCCUUCACCACCAACAUCCCAUUGGCGACAAAAAAAGAGUUAAUUAAAAAGGUAAGUAAUCAGAUAAUAGGGAUCUGUGCACUAAUCAUAGGCUGUAAUUAGCGGUUGUAUUGUUAAUCUUAGGGGGUCAACGGGUAACUGUGGUUAAGUCAACUAGUACUAGUAGUAAUAUUUAAGGGUCACGUGAGGCACGUGUCCUUAGAAACACAAUAGUACAUACAUUGGUACUCGUUGAUUCCAGUUUGAGUAGGAUAAGGUACCCUACGUUUUCUCACCAAUACAUGUUACCUUUCUUUCCCCUUUAGAAAUAUAUAUAUAUUUUUUGCAUUUUUGCUAAAGGUUACGUUACUGCAAGUUUAAUUUUUUGUUAUGUGAAAUCUGAUUACAAAUUUAGUGCAAUCUUUGAUUCGUGGAUAUAUUUAUUUGGAAUAAAACAAUUAAAAUUAAGGUCGAUUAUAUUUAUUUUAAUAGGAAAAUAAUUAUAUAAUAUAUAUUUUUAUUAAUUAUUUUACACAUCGAUAAAAGCUUUUAUUUAAAAUUUUAUCACAAGUCAAUAUUAUGAUCCGGUUAUCAAACUAUUUUGUCGUUUUAACUGCACAAUGUGAGCCUGCCUGAGAAGCCAUAAAAGUCCACAAGUAAACAAAUCUUAUUUUUAUAAGGAGUAAAUACAUAAUUUUAAAAAACCUUAUCGGGAUUGCCAGAAACAUUAAAAUCAAACAAAGUAAAUUAUUGAGUUCCGUGCGUUAACCAUUCCGUCACACACCUUGAAAAAAAAACCCCUAAUAUCUCACGUGCCGCUACCCAACCAUUCUCAACCUCCGUGACACUAACGCCGUCAACCCGCCGCAACGACGUUAACUGAAACGCCGUUUUCGCGUGACGGAAAAACAGUGAAGCAAAGCGAGCAAGAAAACUGUAUAUAAAUUAAACAUGUGAGAGCGAGCAAACACCACAGAUAGAGAGAGACUCUCCUACCUGUUGCCCUUUCUUUGACACUACUGUAUGGUUAGAGGAAAAUAAUAUUUAUUUGGGAAGAAAAAAGGAAAAAAAGGAGAAAUAAUUUUAGUCGAAAUUCGAAAAAGAUUCUUUGAGCAUUUUGUUUUCUGCCAAUUUCAUUGGAUUUUCUCCAGAAUUUGCCAUCUGGUUUAGAUCAAUUUUCUCUGUAUGUAUUUGUGUUGAAUUCUCUUUCGGUUAUUGGAGCAUAUCCCAGCUGAAACUGCACGUAGAUUUCCAAAAUUCAGAUCAAAGGUAAGCAGCCGUGUUCUUAGCUCUAUUCCACCUUGUUUAUUUGCUUAAUUCAGAUUGUUCUUCCAAGGUAUUCCAGAAUUGCUUAUGUUCUUUGCAAGUUUUGACUUUAAUUCGUGAGUGAUUUUAUUAUAGCGCUCUAUGAUGCGUUAAUGUUUUAUAAUUACCAUUGUCUAAUCCAUAAUUUUGUGGCAGAUUUAUAUAUCUGAGAUUUGGAGUUGUGUUGGCGCUGAAGUCAAUUCUGGAGUUGAACAGCGUUUUCAAACACAGCUGCUGGGAAUCGGAAAGUUAACGUUCAAAUCCAGACCUCAAUUUGCGUAGAGAAGUAAAUGCACCUCCGAUCUCAGUCAAUAUUAUGCUUUCUCUCGAGAAACGGAUCUGACAAGAAGGAGAAGCAUUUACAUGAAACAGAAGAAUCUCUUGAGUUUUCAAAAUAUGGAAUUCAACCCAGCUUCUCCAAACAGUUUGCUAAAAUAGAUCAUAAUUGAUCUCCGGAAUUGUUCAGUGAUUUUUUUUUUUUAAAGAAAAGCAACAAAGUUGGUGAAUUUAUCAAAACUAUCUCAGUCGCGGAUGGAGCUUCCUCAACAACAGCGUCUCUUCGAAGCCGAAGGUAUUUUCACAAACAGAUUUUGUUUCCUUUUUUGUUUUUUUUUUUUUUUUUGAAACAAAAGCUAAGUAAAUAUUUGGAAAAAUCGUUGGUUAACUGUGGUUUAGAAGCCUAUUUUCUACAGGAAGGAAACCAACACACGACUUUCUCUCACUGUACGGUCAUUCAGCUGGCCAACAAGAUCCAAGGCCACCUUCUCAAGGUAAUCCCCUUUUUUUUUCCUUUUUUAAAUUCGUUCGAGUUAAGAUCCCAAAAAACUCUUGUAAGAAAGAGUCCCAAAAACCACUGAUUUGUUCUUUAGUGUUUUCUUAUUAUUACUAAUAUUAUUCUUCUUAAAAAAAAAUUUAAGCUGAUAAAUGAUAAUAGUUUUGAUUUAAUGAGAGAAGAAAUAUGUAGUUUUAUAGAUUAAUAGAUUAUAUCUUCUGUUUGCGGAUCACGAUUUGUCUAUGCACGUGAUAAGUAUUGAAUAUGGAUAUGGGCCAUGAAUUGAGGGUGGGCCAGCUCAGGAAUAGCUUUGCCAAAUCCGAAAAGAAAAGUGUUAGCAUUUAGCAAUUAACCCCAUCAGAUUGGGGUCACCCGGGUUUGAUAAUUUGUUGAUGGGACCCAUUCUGGACUUCGCCAUGAUCUUGAUGUGUCACAUGAUUCAUAUCAGGCCCUCUUCCGCAGCUGCAUGCCAUUCAUAUUCAUAUGCUCUUCUCCACAUGUGUUUUCCUUGGCCCAGACAACGUCCUAGGCGUAGGGGGGAUCUGAUGAAAAUUGCAUAUGAUUAGUUUACAAAUUGUAGAUUCAGUCUAAAGUAAAUUAAAUGAUAACCCUCCAUUAGAAAUCUAUUUAUCCUCAUAAAUAUGAUAUUGUAACAGCAAUCCAAAAGUCAUAAAGUACUUUUAUUUUUUUUAAUCUAAAGUAUAUUUAGAUGUGUAUAUACUCUAGCAUUUGCAAUUACUGGUUUUCUUAAUUAUUUGAAACCAAAUGUUGAUCUGUGGUUGGUAAUUAGCCACACGAAUAUUGCAGUCCCUUAUUGCGCAUUAAAUUGUAGCAAGUAUUAUUUAUAUUUGGAUGUAUAUUUACACUAUGGAUAUAGACUCAAUAUAAAUAAGAAUUCACCAAUACCAAUUAAUAUUUUUGCUAAAUUCAUGGUAAGUCUCGCGAAAAAUAGGUGUUGGGCGUUUUAAGUCAUCGUUUCUAGUACUAAAAAAAAGUCAUCGUUCCUAUUGGAUCCCGUUUUACACAAGCACUAGAAUCUGCUCCGAUUUCUUGUAUGUAUUUUCUUUUCUUUCUUUUUCUUGGAAGCCUGUUGUAUGUAUUUUUCGCGAUUUCUGUACAUUAUUUUCUCUACUUUUUGAUUUUAUUUUCUGUAAAAUAUUAGCAUAUAGAUUUCCUUAACAAGCAUGAGAUCAGCUUGUGUAAAACGGGCUCCAAUAGUUUUAUGUGCCAUUACGGUUGUAAAUUCUUCAAACUUCUUAUUUUUAUUCCUCGGAAUAGCACCAUUUACUGAGGUCUAGCUAAUACAGUCUUCAUGCAUGGACAGGUGACCUCAAGACUCAUGAUUUUCUACAACCACUGGAACGGGUCGGGAAGAUCACUGCUAAAGAAGAAACAACCCGUGAGAUUUCAUCCCUUGAAAGGGCGCCGCCUCAUGCACCACCACCCUCAGUGGAGCACAUCCUCCCUGGUGGCAUUGGAACUUACAGUAUUAGCCACAUUUCUAACUAUUUCUAUCAAAGAAUCCCAAAGCCAGAGGAUAGCACAGUUUUCACCGUACCUCAAGCAAGUAGUACAGAUAAAAAUGAGGAGCAUUCCAACUGCAGUUCUUAUACCGGAAGUGGAUUCACUCUGCAGGAAGAAUCUGCAUCGAAGAAGGGAAAGCUAGAGAAGGAGAAUGACGGAGAAAGAUCCGACUACGCAAGAGGUAACGUUUUUUUUUUCCUUAAAAAAAAAUCUUACUCGUUCUAUCUGUUUUGUUUUUUUUUUUUGAGAAAGUUCUGUCUGCUUAUUAAGUACCAUGAUAGCGUUUGCUUGGACAUGCAAGUCCACUACCAUGUAAUCACACACACAUAUAUAUACGAGGCGUUUUUUAUCAUGAGUUAAUGGAUCGUGACAUGCAUAUAUGCUAGGAAGAAAAGUACAAAAGAAAAUCAUGACAGCAUGACAGCAUGACAGCAUAUAUACCCAAGUAACAAAUAAGGAAGAAAAACAGUACAUUCAUUUCUAGUUGAUAUGGAUUUCGUUUAAUUGAUGGAAACACGUCCAAUUCCUUAAACUGACAUUGCCACUAUUUUGAAUUUUCAACACUUUAACCCCUGGUUUCGGACUUUUGAGAGUGCUGCAAAAUUAAUUUUUGAGGGACACAGGGACCCUGUCAAAUUGUCAAAUAAGACCAAGAUAUUGUCUUUUAGCUUCCUGGUGGAUUGCUGAGCGAAAGAAUAGGGUCCAAAAUAGAUUAUCCAAUUGGUUGGUUGCCUCUGUACAUUGAAAAGAAAAA
rnacentral:lncRNA from 1 species